rnacentral:lncRNA from 1 species
GAGAAACUAAACUUUACAAGUUAUAUGUGAACUAUUUAAUAUAAAUAAAGCUCACCAAUAUAAGUAGAUCCUACCUGAUCUACACGUUGUCUAUAAAAUAGAGUAUUCCAAGCAUUUUUUUAAAUUUAAGCUAAAUUUGUGCUUGGGUUUCUGUUGUAUCCAUUUGGCUAGCCAUUUGUCGUAUUCCAAAAAUUAAAUCCCUCCAAGGAAAUCCGGCCGCAGGUGUAGGAGGUGGAUCCGACCCACCAUCGCGGGUCUAGUCGCACUAGAGGGUAUAGCCCGGGUAUGAGACGGAAACCCAUGAAAUCAUGGGUUGUUGCUUGCAAAAUGGUGGGGAGGAAAGGAAAAUAUGGGCGCCGUCUGUUUACGCCAGAGAGAGGGAGAGGGAAAAGGUAAAAAGUAAAAAAGGAAAUAUGAGCACCAUCACAUUAUGUGGUGUACUAAGACCACCUUCAAACCCGGGCUAAAUGCCAAAUGUUUAUCGGAAUUUAAAUCUUUUUAGAUUAAAAUGUUCAUAAAAUUAAUUUACAAUAAUCUACAUAUUUAUUUUUUUAAAAUUGAUUUAAGAAAAAAAUUAGUCUAAGUUCAUUCUUUAAUAAUUCCGAGCUAAGAUUUUAGGGCAGAAGAGUUGGAGCAGAAAAGAUGUUUUUGGGCUAAAAGCUAAAUUUUCCGGGCUAAAAAAUUUGGCUUUUAGCCCAAGAGUUAGAGAUGGUCUAAUGUACUACAACAAACAAAUAAUUUAUGUAUGUACAAUUCAAAGAAUCAAGUAAUUAAUGGUCCCUCGUUAAAAAAAAAAAAAGGAAGGACAAUAUUAGAGAGAUUAAAUUUAUAAAUCAAAUGAUGUGUCAUCAAUAGAAAAUAAGCAAGUUAAUUGACACUUAACAAUAAUCCAAUAAUAAGUCUUCACAUCAUUUGAUUUACAAAACUUAAUUUAAAAUUUUGAUCUCGCUAUCAUUAAAUUAAAAAAAAAAUACUAAAAGUUGGGGUCACUGCAUGAUCGAGCCGGUUAAUUGUACGUUGAGAGUUUGAAUUUAUUCAUUAUCAACUUGCUUUUUCAUUGACAAAUCACAUCCUAACAUGAUAAUGACUUUGCUCAAAUCAUGGCCAUUCAACAACUAAGAUAUUUUCGGAUCGAAUAGGGAUCCUCUUUGAAUUUUUUUUAUGAGAAUUCUAGAGAUCCUUUAAUUACAUUCGUUCAUCACACAUCGUACGAUCAAUUUUGAUCAAGUAUUGUUUAUAUUUAAUUUUAAAUAAAAAAAUUUACAAUAAUUUCUGACCACACGAUAUACGAUAAACGAAUAUGAUUGAAAAUCGAUAGAAUCCUCAAAAAUAGAAUCCGAAGAAGAUCCUCAUUCUUUUGGAAUCGUGAAAAAAACGAGGAUACUUUAUUUUUCUUGAUCUAACCUUUUCUCUCUUCCGGUCCGGAUCUGGUAGCAAUUUGCAUGCUUUGUACUUAUGUUCUAGUUUUUUUUUUUUUUCCUUCUUUAUUCAACUGAUCAAUUAUUAUAACCAUGAUUAUGAUUACUUAACACUGUUACAAUGUCCACCUUCUUAUUUCUUACCCCCCCCUUCUAUAUUUACACCCCCAAUUAAAAGUAAAAAGAGAGCAAAGUUAUCUCCACACUUACCAUUAUUCCUUAAAUAGCCUAAACAGUCCAAUAUUGUUUUUUCCUUGAAUCCAACCAGUAAUCCCUUCGUUAACCCUACAAGAAAAAUGGGCUAAGAACACAAUUGAUUGGUGCCCUUCUCAUUUUCAUUGAGCACAAAUAUAUAUUUGUGCUUUUUAAAUUCCAUUGAGCACCAAAAUACCUCAAAUGUGCCCUCUAACAUAAAGGCACAUUAGUUUGUGUCGGGUAUUUGUGCCUACUAAAAUUUGAACACCAAACUUUGUGUCCAGCUUGCUUGUCAGGGAUGAAAUUUUUUUUUUAUUAAUUUACACAAACACAAUAAAGGCUUUUGUGCCCUCUAUUUUAAUAUGUUUAAAUAAAAAAAUUAUAUUUUCGUGUCUUUUACAUUUAAUAUUUCCUAUUCCCAACUAUUUUUUUCUUGUUUACAAUUUGUGAAAAUAUCUAGUUGCAAUCAAUUUGAAUUAUUAAUGGUGAUAAAUAUUAUAUUCUAUUUAAAUAAUACUUAUCGUAAUGAACGCGUGGUUACAAACUGAUGUGAAUUCGGAAUUAGAACGAGUAAGUUACGAAUUUUUAAAAUUAGAAGGCAAAAUGGUAAAAUUUUGGGAAGGAGUAUUCUAGAAGCCAAAGCUUCUCCCAUUUUACUUUCCCGACAAGCACAUGUAGCAGGGACCCACCCACGUGGGUCUUCACCCUUCCCACCUAAUUAUAUAUAUAUAUAAUAGUAUUAAAUUAUUAUUUUAUUAAUUUUAUGAUGGAUUUUUGUGCUCCUCCAUCUUUUUUCUAUCCCGGCACAAAUGCAACAAGGACCCACCCACGUGGGUCUUCACCCUUCCCCAUGCUUCUACUCCUCUCUGCACUGCAUCACUCUUCUGUCUCCCUCCUUCACGCAACCCUUUCUCUCACUUUCUCACUUUACUUCUUCAUAAUUUUCUCUGUGAUCUCCUUCACCAUCUCUGUGCUCACUGCACAGAAAACCUCAGCAUCCAUCUCCAUCUAACUAGCCACUCCGGCGAACCUUGCCACCACCCAAACACUACAUGCCACCCUCGCUCUCUCACAAUCUUUUUGUCUCUCCCUCUCGGCUUCUUCCUUGACACAGAGAAGCACAUAAGCAAUGACGGCGGCGGAGCUGGCGAUCUCCGGCGAGGCAACCACCAGCGUCACCUUCCUCUCCUCUCUGCAGACUCCCCUUUACCUUUUGCUUUCUGAAAAUCGAAACCGACGCGAUGAAAUGACAAGGUCCGUCGCGGCUUGACUCCUUGGCGAGAUUUUCCGUCGAAUUCAGUAUGGGUGAGUCUUGAAAACACCUUAGUUAGGUUCUUUAAGUUGUUUAGAGACGCUUUCGUGCACUGCAUGCCUGAUUUGGUUAAGUUUGGAUGCAGUUUCAACUUAGGGGACAAAUUCCCCUGAUUUCCAGCGAGGGCUAUGAUUUUAGGCUAUCACCGGCCACUCAAUGGCCUUGAAGUAGGUAAAUUUCGAAUACUUACCUUUGUAGCUUUGUUUUAGCUUUUGAAUUGUUGAAAAUGGUUGUGUUUUGGACCAAAACGGACUCUGAAACCCCUGGCGUGGCUGCAGGUCGCACUGUCGCUGUGCGUGGAGCUGUUGUGGAUGGCGCGUGGAGCACAGGCGCCUCCACCGGAAGGAUGAUUGCCUGAAAGGAUGAAUAUACGUUUUCAAAUGUUUGUUUUAGAUUGUAGGGUAUUUCGAAUUUGUUAUUUUUUAAAAAAAAAAAUUAAUUGAUAAGGCACAAUUACAAAAAUUGUGCUAACAUGAAUCUGAAAUGGCAUCUGACACAGGUGUCAGAACAGGACACAAAAAAAACCUUAUUUGUGCUCAAUGUUUGAGCACACAUGGCUGUAUCGUGCCCUCUAAUCAAUGGUGACGCCCAUAGAGGGCACAGACCCAAAGAUAGUAGCUGCAUUGUUGCUAUUGGUCUAUGGGCACAAUUGUUGGUGCUUUUUGAUCUCAAAGGGCACAUAUAAUUUAUUAUGCGCAGUGCUCAUUUUUUUUGUAGUGUAAACUCAAUAUUGAAGAAUUUAUUGGUAAGUUCAUCGCUUCUCAAUUUCGCAACCUUUUAAAUCAAUAAACUAAGCCUUCUAGCAUCUAAUUAAAACAAACAAACAAAACCAGAUACAAUUAAUCUUUUGCUCUUUGAAGACCAACUUUAGUAAGCUUUUUUAUGGUUCAUUAAACUCUUAUCUAAUUUUGUCGACCAAAUCACAAAACCCAUCUAAAGAAUACCUAAAUUGGUAUCCGUGCUAUUGCCGACAAAUCCAAAGUUUUAAAGGAAAACUAAUGAAAAAGGCUUGAAAACUUUGAGUUUUAAUGAUAAGGACAAAAUAAAGGGUAAAGUGAAUAGUACCAGGUUUGACUUUUUAGUGUAAAAAUGUGGUUUUUCGUUAAAGUGAACAGUACCUUGGGCUUUUCGUUAAAACUCCCAUAAUAAUUUGUUACAUGUUUCCCACUAUUUGCGUUUAUGCCAUAAAUCGAUUCUUAAAUUCAAGAAUUGCAUAAUAUAUUUGCUCAAUCGAAUUUCUCUUCAAUAUUAAUUGUGAUGUGAGUUUCAAACACCUAAAUGAAGCAGCAACUUAAAUCUUGGGUCUUUUGCUUGAUUUUGAGUUGGGUUGUGAGGAUCGGUGGUGCAUUGGAUAGAGAGAGACGCGGAGUUGCCUACAUCACUCUAGUCCCCAAAAAAAACACGUUCUUUAUAUUUUCUUAUGUCUCCUUCUAAGAAAUUUUGCAAUAAGGUAAGCUUGUCAUUAAAACUUUCAUUAAAAUGUGUGGAAUAAUAGACAAUGAGUGGCGGGACUGAGAUCCUCGCAGAAUGUCUUUUCUGCGGGUUUGAUAGACCCUUAAAUCUUUCUAUCUCUGUUCACUGCCUCCAUCUCCAACCUUCUCUUGGAUUUUGUUAUCAUUAAUUUUAUGGAGUUCUUAAUAGGAAAAAAAAAAUGUAAAUAUAGUUCUUGGGUUUUAAAAUUUUUUUUUUCUUUCAGAACCUAGACAUGAAGAGGCGGGGAAAAAAUCUAAUAGCGUAUCGGUAGCACAUUGCAAUCAAAGGGGAAAAAAUAAAGAGAUUAGAAAGAAAAACAGUGAGUUAUGAGUCUUGAUUACUAGUAUCCAUGGCGUAACAAAAAAAUCUAAUAGCGUAUCGGUAGCACAUUGCAAUCAAAGGGGAAAAAAUAAAGAGAUUAGAAAGAAAAACAGUGAGUUAUGAGUCUUGAUUACUAGUAUCCAUGGCGACGGUGUUACGAAUAGAGAGAGAGAGAGAGAGGAUAAAAUGGGACGGAAGAAAGAAACUAGAAGGGAGUGAGGUUAUUAACUACAUUGAGAAAGAAUCAAAGAACAAUAUGGAAUGUAAGAAAAUGAAAAACUUGAGAGAGAGAGAGAGAGAGAGAGAGAGAGAGAGAGAGAGAGAGAGAGAGAGAGAGAGAGAGAGAGAGAGAGAGAGAGAGAGAGAGAGAGAGUAAAUUGUAUGAAGUGUAUUUCAGACUUAAUGAAAUGGAUCAUCACAAUUACAGAAUUUUUGUACACACAUACAUCUAGCUUAAAGCUUCAUUCUUACACUUCUAACGACUAACUAAUCUUUUUAACAACUUAAUUAACAACUUUAGUAUGACAUGACAGCCUCAUUAACUAACCAAUGUUGAGCUGUCAUUUAUUAACACUCAACAAAGGCAACCUUGUUUCGUGUAAAAAAUAAAUAAAAAAUUUCUGGUUGUUUGAUCUGUGUGAACGGCCAAGAUUCAAGGAUCUGUCAUAUCCUCAUAAUUAAAGAGACGUGGAGAUGAUCCGGGUCUGGGGUGGGCAUAAUUAUGAUUAUUUGGUUUAUAAAUAAAAAAAAAAGAGUUAAUUUGACGGAUUUGGAUCCUCUCUGGAUCCAAAGGAUUUGAGCUUGAAUUUAUUCAUUAUCAACUUGCUUUUUCAUUGAUAAAUAAAAUAAAAGUUAUAAUAAUUGUAGUCGUUUGAUCAAAUUGGGAUUUGGAUCCUCUUCGGAUCCAAAGGAUCUGAGCUUGCAGAUCAAGUGAUAUGGGCCGUCCAAAUUUGAUCAAACGACUACAAUUAUUAUAACUUUUAGAGGGGCCCCCUGUUUGUAGCCGUUUGAUCAAAUUUUGACGGCCCAAAUCACUUGAUCCGCAAGCUCAGAUCAAGUGGAUCUGAAGAGGAUCCAAAUCCCAAUUUGACCACCUUUGAACUUUCCAAGUCAUCCCCUAGCCGUAGAAUGGUUGCCACCAAAAUAUUUCGCCUAAAGUAGUGUUGCACAUGUUGAAUAUUUGUUGGAUCGAAAAUAAUGCCUCUAGAAUUUCAUACAAUUUUUUUUUUUGUUGAACGAUGUUAUUUUCUCUAAGGGAAAGGGGAUAGGCUUAAUCUCACAAUGAACUAGCAAGAAUGUGGUUCAAAUUCGCAUUUGACGAGGAUCAAACCUAAGACCUUUCACUUACAAGUGAAAAAAAAUACCACUAAACUGUAGUACUAAAUAGCUAAAUUAAAAAAUAUAUUAAAAAAAAACCCUCAAUUGCAGCCAAUGUGUCAUAAAAGUAGUUUUACAAUUACUUUAGUUAAAAUAAGGUUUUCAAUUGCAUUGUUCAAAUGAACAGUUACUUGACGUGGAUUUUGAGCUAUUUACAAAAUUGCCACCACCUCUUCAGUUUCAGAUUGGAAAUUUUGGUUAUUUACGAAAUUGCCAACCCUUCAACUGUGCACGUAUCGACCAUCGUAGAAAGGGUGGGGUUGGAAACACACUUCGUUUCCGCUUGCUUCCUGAAACCCGAAGCCCCAAUUGCAUCCUUAGGAGAGUUGGGGAACGGGUGUCCAUUGCAGAGAGAUGAUGGUACUAGCUGAACAAAGUUUCUCUCUCAUCCCUAAUAUGUGCAUGUCAGAUCUUUGUCCUAAAUCCUGCCCCAAUAACACUUUAGAGGUAAAGUUCAACCUUCGUCCCGUUUAGUUCUUGUCCAGAGCGCAGAUUAGAUAGAGAUGAAUCAGAAAUGUCUCAUGUGUUGAUGCACAAAACCGGAGGUCUUGGAACAACGUAAAUCCGACCAUGAAUCUGUAAGAAAGUAAAUAACACAAGAUGUAUCGUGGUUCACCCCAAUGUUUGGACUACGUCCACACUGAUAUUGUAUUUCUCUAAGAGGAUUGAGGAUGAGAUGGUGAAAGUUUCUGAGGGUGAGAGAGCUCUUCCCAUAGCCUAAGAAUUGGCCUCCCCUAAUGAAGAGAGUGAGGGGUCAUUUUAUAGAAUAAGGGCUCCCCACUUAUUACAUAUUUGCCCAUUCGUUUAUUACAUAAUUACAUAUGAGUCCCCCGAGUAUUUAUACGAGAUCUAAAUACGGAGGCCCUAAGUUUGGUACAAAUAGUAGUCCCCCAAGUCUUCAGUCAAAAGAGUCUUUUGGUUAGAGACUUGAAAUUCAGUCCAUGUGUGGGCCGAAGUAACUAGAUGUUGUCUUGAACUGAUGCUCGAUAUGAGGCGGUGCUCAAUCUGAAGUGAUGCUCAACUAGAAGUGGCACAUGUUGCGAGGCUGCUCGGUUUGUGGCUUAUUUUUCUUUGGUUGGCUCGGCUUGUGGUGUUGAAGGUGAGGGAGUCCAUUUUAUAGAAUAAAGGAUCGCUCCUUAAUACAUAAGUGAUGGGCUAAGAGUGAUGCUCGCGGCGAGGCAGUUGCUCAGCUGGCGGCGAUGCUCUUUAAUGAAGGUGAGGGAGUCUCUUUUAUAAAAUAAGGGCUCGUUCCUCGGUACAUGAAUAAUGGGUUAGGAGUGAUGCUCGCAGCGAGGAGGUUGCUCAGCUGGCAGCAAUGCUCUCUAAUGAAGGUGAGGGAGUCCCUUUUAUAAAAUAAGGGCUCGCUCCUCAGUACAUGAAUAAUGGAUGCUCUCUAAUGAAAGUGAGGGAGUCCAUUUUAUAUAAUAAGGGUUCGCUCCUCAAUACAUAAAUAAUGGACUAAGUCCCCCAAGUAUUUUUCAUGAGGCCCAGUUAAGGAAGCCCAAUAUAUGGUACAUAGUGUAGUCCCCCAAGUCUUCAGUCAAUAGAGUUUGUUGGCUAGAAACUUCAAAUUGAAUCCAUGUAUGGGCCGAAGUGGUGGUUGUUCGGAAGCGGUAUUUGUAUACCAUGCACUGAAGCUUUGUAGGUGAAGCUUUUAAAGUGAAGCUUUGAAGCUGGAGCUCUGUAAAUGAAGCUUUGAAGCUGGAACUCUGUAAAUGAAGCUUUCGAAGCUGAUUGACAUGAGUGAUACUCAUGAAUGUUUAUGUUGAUUGACAUGAGUGAUGCUUAUGGAUGUUGACAUGAGUGAUGCUCAUGAAUGUUGACAUGAGUGAUGCUCAUGAAUGUUGACAUGAAUGUUUAUGUAUGAUUGACAUGAGUGAUGCUCAUGAAUGUUUAUGUAUGAUUGACAUGAGUGAUGCUCAUGUAUAAUUUUGGAGUACUGGACGUACUUUUGAUCACCUGGUUUGUGAUAAUAGCGGCAGGGUGCCGAAUAAUUUUGGAGUACUGGGCAUACUUUUGAUCACCUGGUUAAUGAUAAUAGCGGUAGGGUGCCGAAUAAUUUUGGAGUACUAUGCGUACUUUUGAUCACCUGGUUGGUGAUAAUGGCGGCAGACUGCCGAAUAAUUUUUUGGAGUACUGGGCGUACUUUUGAUCACCUGGUUGGUGAUAAUAGCGAGUCUGGCUCUUUUGGGCAUAUGGGCCUUCGCCCUCCACAUAACAUUCCAGCCCAUUAUUUUGGGCUUGCCGUUUUUUUUUAAUUACCCUCUGAUGGGGUUUAUACAGAUGUCUCCGAAAGAUAAGAAAAAUAAAUCCGACCCUCUGCUCAAUGGGUCACGCCCAUAAUUCUCUUUUCUGCAUGCCAUCACCACGACAAUUAUGUCUGCUUCUUUUUAUCUUCUUUUGCCUUCUGCUUUUGCUUUUGCUUUUGCUUUUACUUUCUCUUUUCACUUUCUCAGAAAAUGAUUUCACAUGGUUUUCUCCUUUUGCUUUCUCAGAAAUCAGAAAAUGAUUUCACAUGCCUGAAACCGCGAGCACAUGGCUUUCUCCUUUUGCUUUCUCAGAAAAUGAUUUCACAUGGCUUUCUCCUUUUGCUUUCUCAGAAAAUGAUUUGCUACCACCCUGUAAAGAAGAUGCAGGGAAUGAGUCACGACUAAGCACUUCUGGUUGGUACUGCAACCCAUAGAACCUCCUGGCCAGGCUCUCAAUUGCAGCCACCGAUGCAGCAAAAUAGGGCAGCAAUGAAUUGAUAGGUGACAAAGCGUUGCUGGUAGCCCUUUUUUUAGCAAAUAUUGGAGCUUAUCAUACUUCAUGAUGACCAAUUUUUGAAGCAAUGAGAGAUUUCCGAGCACCUCCGAUAUGGAUCCAAGAUCUGGAAGUCUUUGGAUGAUGAAGGAUGUUAUAUUGUUGGGAAGAAGGUACUCUUUUGGGAAGGAUACAAGGUCAGGAAACCCACCGACAGUGAGAUCAUGAAGAGAGUGGAGUUUGUGAAGCCUCCAUUCAUCUCAAACUCUCUUGCUUUUCCAAACUUCUUCUUCCCCUCUCUCUCUUUCACUAUCUUUAAUUUUCUACCAUUAGCAGCCUCUGAAAAGAAAGGGAAACCGUGGCAAGAAAAAGUCAAUAAUACUGAGAAAACAUAAGAAAGCCACCAAAAGCUGACAAGAGAAAAAGUCAAGAAUACAGCCCAUAAUACUGAGAAAACAUAAGAAAACACCAGAGUUCAUCUUCCCAUCGCCGUGGCCGACUUGCUCUUUUCUUCUUUUGUUUUUUUUUUCUUUUUGCUUUCUCUUUUCUGCUUUUUUUUCUUUUUUUCUUUUUGCUUUCUCUUUUCUGCUCAGUGCUCCCUCUGUUUGAACUUUGCACUUUACACUUUGCCGUUUUCAGCGUUUUCUGACCAAUCAGAGCUCGCCACCACGGGGGUUUGCACAGCCUUGACGAGCACAACCUUGACACACAGAGCAACACUAGGAGGUGAAACAAGUCCUAAAAGAGCUCAAACGAGGAUAAUCCAAUGGCGGAUAAGUCGUCGUGAAGAUGGGAACUCGGAACAGUUGUAACCGCCAUCACCGAGUUGAAUCGUUGGGACAGAGUGAGCUGAGUUCAUAAGCAAGAGAGAGAGAGCCGAGUUGGAGCUCACUACGAACUCGUCAAGGGAGUUCAGGGCCGAGUUGGAGUCGGGUCGGGUUGAGGGGCUGACAGGAGAGUGGUGUCGGGAGUGCGAUUUGAUGAAACCCCAGGAAAAUGAAAAGUGAAAGUAGAGCAUGAAUGUAUCUAGCCAGAUCUUAUGUCCUCAGCUCUUCAUGGUUGUAAAUCUCUCCAUUCAUCGUGACAACGAUUGACUUGUCCUCGUUGUAGAGAGGUUGAUCACUAGAGGCAGGGUCAAUGAUGGCCAACUUCUGAUGAGCCAAAAAAACAAUCUCCAUGCUGGUACAGCCCACUCCAGUUAGGUCCACGAUGCUUCAAUCUGCGCGAAAGCUCAAGAAUCGGACCCUCUUGACGAGAUUUUUCUUGCGGUGUUGGGCAAACACGUUACAAAAAAUACCGAUAUUUCAGACGGAUCCCUUAGAUGCUCGAUGCAGCCUCUUCUCUGGUGGGCUUAGGCUCUCUUGAGGGCUUGUGUUCCCUUUAAUGUAGUCUGUUGCCUUCACCUUUGGAAAAAUGCAAAAAAUGUGCUUCUGCUUUGCCUCUGAAACAAAGAGGCAUAAUAGAAUGCUAACCAUCCUUUGGUCUUGAUUUCAUGCUGAAUGGUGGAACCAAGAAUCAAUAAAAGCCUUGUCCAGAUUUGCUGUUGGAAGAGUGACACUCAUCACCCUGUAGAUGAGCCAAUGCACCCGCCGCCGAGACGCAAAACAGAUAAGAGAAUAAAGGAGUGUUGAGGUGGUGUAUGGCUCAAACCCACACAUUAUUUUUCUUCUCUCUCCUGGUCCUCACAGAAAUCAGAAAAUGAAAGUUGGCGUAGUACUCACUAAAUGAAAGCUGACAAAAAUCAGAAAAUGAAAGCUGGCGCAGAUUCACGGCAGAGGUGAAAAAAUGAAAGAGAACCGACACAACUUUUCAUAUCGAUUCCCACAGACAGCGCCAAAUGUUGAUGCACAAAACCGGAGGUCUUGGAACAACAUAAAUUCGACCGUGAAUCUGCAAGAAAGUAAAUAACACAAGAUGUAUCAUGGUUCACCCCAAUGUUUGGGCUACAUCCACACUGAUAUUGUAUUUCUCUAAGAGGAUUGAGGAUGAGAGGGUGAGAGCUUCUGAGGGUGAGAGAGCUCUUCCCAUGGCCUAAGAAUUGGCCUCCCCUAAUGAGGAGAGUGAGGGGUCCUUUAAUAGAAUAAGGGCUCCUCACUUAUUACAUAUUUGCCCAUUCGUUUAUUACAUAAUUACAUUUGAGUCCUCCGAGUAUUUAUACGAGAUCUAAAUACGGAGGCCCUAAGUAUGGUACAAACAUCAUGCAUGUUUGUUCUCUGUGUAAGGUACCUCGAUUGAUGACGAUGAUAUCAAAGAGCAGCUCAAAUCACAAAUUCAAAGGCUGAAAAUUGUGCAGAUACCACAUGAUUCUCAUAUAUCCAAAAGGUAAGGUAAAAAUCUGACACAUCCGAAAAUGAUUUGACAAGUAAAAUCUUAUUUAUUAGGUUGUCUUCUCCCCAAUUUUAAAGGAUUAGGAUUCUCUCAUCUCAUCUUUCCAUCUCCUUCUAUCUCAUCCCUCUCACAUUCUUUUAUUUUGUCUUUCUCUUGCUAUAAAAAAAUUAAUAUAAGAUGUUGACGUGUCUUAAUCGUGACCCUUCAAUUAGGAGGUAAGGAAAGCUGAGGGAAAAAAAAAGGGAGAGAAUCCUACUCCCAAGUAAUAAUUAGUUCUAUCUUCCCUCCCCCUUCUAUCCUAUUCAUUAAAGAAAAAGACUAUUUACCCUAUGCGAUUUAGCCUCCGUACUUCUUACUCAAGAAAAGAAAAAGAAUUUUCUUUUAGUUCACAAUUAAAUCCCUAUCUCUACAAUUCCUUACUUUUCAUUGUAAUUUUCCAAUGAAUGCAACCUUCGAUAUGUUCUUAAUCGCCUUAUUUACUUAUUCUUGGUUUAUUUAGCAUGUUAAUUAUUUAUAUGGUCAUGAAGUUAUCAGUUAGGGUUAUGAUUUUAAGAAUUGUUUAUAUUUUAUUGUCAUUUUUUUUAUUGAUUAAAAAAUAAACAUAUGAUUUUAUAGUACUAAUUUCAACUAGCCCACCCAAAAAAAAAAAAUCCUAACUCUGCUAUUGGUUAAGUUGUGAGGAUCGGUGGUGCAUCAGAGAGAGACAGAGAGACGCAGAGCUACCUACGUCACUCCAGUCCCAAAAAAAAACACUUUCUUUAUAUUUUAUUAUGUCUCCUUCUAUGAAAUUUUGCAAUAAGGUAAGCUUGUCAUUAAAACUUUCAUUAUAAAGGAAAAGGAUCCGGCAACCGUUCAUAGUACAUUGGGCGGUCAAUUUUCGUUAUAUAUUAUUUAUAUUUAUUUUAAAUGUUAAAAUGAUUUUUGACCGCACAAUAUACGAUAAACGGUCAUAAUCAUAGGAUCCCUAAGAUCUCGCUGGAUCCUUUUCCUAUUAUAAAGUGGGUGGAAUAAUAGACAAUAAGUGGCGGGACUGAGUCUGAGAUCCUCGCAGGAUCUCUUUUCUACGGUUUGACAGACCCUUAAAUCCUGCUCGUUCACACAAAUCAAACGACCAUAAAUAAAUCACAAAAACGACGCAGUACCACCAUUUUCUUCUAUUCACUUAUGCUCUCUCCUCUUUCUAUUUCUGUUCACAGCCUCCAUCUCCAACCUUCUUCCUGGAUUUUGUUAUCAUUAAUUCCAUGGAGUUCUUAAUAGGAAAAAAAAUGCAAAAAUAGUUCUUGGUUUUUUUUAUAAAUUUUUUUUCAGAACCUAGACAUGAAGAGAGGCAGGGAAAAUUUCUAAUAGCAUAUCGGUGGAAAAUUGCAAUCAAAGGGGAAAAAUAAAGAGAUUAGAAAGAAAAACAGUGAAUUAUGAGUCUUGAUUACUGAUGUCCAUGGCGAUGGUGCUAUGAAUAGAGAGAGAGAGAGAGAGAGAGAGAGAGAGAGAGAGAGAGAGAGAGAGAGAGAGAGAGAGAGAGAGAGAGAGAGAGAGAGUGAAGAUAAAACGGAACGGAAGGUAGAAACUAGAAAGGGGUGGUUUACCCAAAAAAAAUAAAAAACUAGAAAGGGGUGAGGCUAUUAACUACAUUGAGAAAGAAUCAAAGAGCAAUAAGAAAUGUAGGAAAAUGGAGUACUAGAGAGAGAAACAAUUGAGAGAGAGAGAGAGAGAGAGAGAGAGAGAGAGAGAGUACACUGUAUAAAGUGUAUUUAAGACUUAAUGAAAUGGAUCAUCAAAAUUACAGAGUUUUUGUACACACAUAUAUCUAGAUUAAAGAUUCAUUCUUACACUUCUAAGUGACUAACUAAUUUUUUUAACAAUCUAACAGCUUUAGUAUGACAUGGCAGUCUCACUAACUAAUUAAUGUUGAGCUGUCACGACACUCAACAGAGGCAAUCUCGUUUGGUGUGAAUUUUUUUUUAAUUUUAUUUAUGGUCGUUUGAUAUGUGUGAACGAUCAAGAUUCAAGAAUCCGUCGGAUCCGCAUAAUUAAAGAGACCUGGAGAUGAUCUGAGUCCGGGGUGGGCAUAUUAUGAUUAUUUUAUUUAUAAAAAAAAUUCAUUUAAUUUGACUACCUUUGAACUUUCUAAGUUGGGAACUUGCCGAAGAAUGGUUGCCGCCAUAAUAUUUCGCUAAGGUAGUGUUGCACAUGCUGAAUAUUUGUUGCUGCAAGUUUGUAAUUUUAUUUGCUACUUGAUGCAAAGGAUUGUGACUCAAGUGAACAAAUUCAGAGUUUUACGGAUAUAAUUUGGUUCUUUUUAAUACAUAAUAUUACAAAGGCCUAGAAAUUUUUCUUGAAGGAAUAUGGUAACAUGUUUUCCACAUCUUGGCCUGCAAUUUAUGUGAAGGGGUAUUAGUGUGUGUUAUUUGCUUUGGUAAGAUGUGUGUUAUCUGCAUUGGUGUUGGUAAGAUAUGUGUUAUCUGCAUUGGUGCAUUUGAGGGUGUGAUUCACUUCCUACCUCUUUUUUAGUGCAUAUUUUUGUGCAAAUUAUUCUUGCCUAUUAUGACUAAUACAUUCAAUUCCCGCAACGAAGCAUGCGCGAGUUUUCUAAUGAUUUCUAAAGUUGUUCACAUCAAUAAUUAAAAACUGUGAGUGUCAACUUACUUUUCUUCCUUUCCAAAAAGUGGACUGUCUUUUUAUGAAAUCUUAAUUGCACAAUUUUAUGAUAAAAAAUGUAUGAGAAUUAUAAACUUCUAUUCUUUAUUUCGGAUUUGGAUCCUCUUGAUCAAUCAUUGUGGGCCGUUGGAUAAAAAUCCAACGGCUAUAAUUAUAAUAACUUUAAAAGGACUUCUCUGUUUGUAGCCGUUGGAUAAAAAUCCAACGGCCCACGAUGACUGGUCAGGAGGAUCCUCUCCAUUAGCCCAGGAGAGGAUCCAAAUCCCUUUAUUUCAUCGGAGGACAACCAAAUAAGGUAAAACACACUAUCUCCCAAAACUAACAAGGAGAGCAAGAACAAAGGCGCUCCUGAAUCCAAACUAUAAUUUGAGCAUUGCGAUUAAACAAACUUGGCAUAUGGUCUCUGGCGGCCUUUUGCCUUCUCAAGAUUGAUCAAUCUAUGCUUGGCUGCGCUGGUUACUUAAGUCUUGUGCAAGAAAACUAUCAGAAAGCAGUGACUUCAUAUUCUCCACAAGGCUUGGAAGGCUAUGUUGAGAAUUAUAAUCAUACAUCAAUGGGACCAUUCUAGCAACAUUAAGAGCAAGUUUUAUAAAGGAUGCUGAAAAUGGAUUUGAUGCAGACAAACAUUCUUGGUUGAGGAACUUCCAUUCUUCCGAAAUCCUAUGGACAACGAAUGCUCGUGCAUCUUCCUCUGAACAACCUUGAUUUUCAUUCAUGUAACACUCUAUGUAUGAACUAUCAUUUCCAUCUUGGUCCUCAUCCUGCAAUUAAUCCAGAAAAUAUCCUUACAAUACUAUAUUUUUAUAAACAAGUGCUAAAUGUAACUCAAACUAACCAUAUCAAAAUACAAGUACGAAACUUGGCACUUCCAGAGUCAUCCCAUAGCCGAAGAAUUUUUUCGGUUGAAGAUAUAAUGCUAGAUAUGUUGAUGUUGUCCAGAAUACGUACAGUUUCCUUGCUUAUACCUUGACCCAGUAAGAAGAAUGCAUGUGUUAGAACCACAUGCACCCCUGAACUGAUGAACCCGUUGUUCAAGUACUCUUCACUUUUUGGCAAGUGCCUGCAACUAAACCAUCGUGCUUCUAGUUGUUUGGAUCAAAACUUGAACUUUGGGCUCAAGAAAUGAGCUGGCCCAAAAUGAGGCCCGAAGGGAAAGACAGCCGAAGCCCAGUUAAAGCCCAUAAGGCAGAAAGGGCCUUUUCUGACUUGGUGCAGCUUAUGAAGACCACUUGCUUACCUACCCAAAAGCCAAGUGGUGUAGACUGAUCAGCUACACAUCCCAUAAAGCACUUUAUGGUGGCAUUACAUGUAAAAUAGCUUAUGAGUCAUCACCCUCAAACCGUAUUCGGGUAAGGCUGCUGCUACAGAAGGCCAAGCCGAGUUGUCUAUAUAAGAAGAAAGAGAAACCAGGAAUAAGGACACUCAAUCAAACAAACAAAUGCAAGCACAAACUCUGCUCAAAGCUAGAUUUGCCUUCAAACAAAGCUGUAGUCAGCCUUCAUCCCUCUCGGGACAAGCCUUCAUCCCUCGCGGGAUAACCCUCCCUUCAAACCUUUGUAAUAGCUCUGCUACCCUGUUCAACCUUGCUGUAGUAUCGAUUCAUCUUUUGUAAUCCCUCUCUCUAUCCCUCUAAGCUGUCAGACCCUUGACAAAACUACAAAGAUAGGAACCUACAGGACGAGCAGCCUUACCUGAUAAGGUUUAACCUUGCCCGACCUUCUUUGCUUUGUUUUUGUCUUUUCAAUAUGUUGUAUACGUCCAGUUGUAUGCAAGUUAUUUCUAGCAAUAUGACUAUUAAAAGGCUUUCUCAAUACUUGAAUCCGAUUUGAAUAUAUCUUCAGUGUUCAAACCAGAUCCAAGUCCUAAGCCCUCGGGCAUGUAAAUCUGAUCGGUUAAAAGUCCUUGGCCUCAAGGCAUAAAAAAGAACCUUAUGUGGACUUAACCCAUCCACGACAGUCCUUGAUAAACGAGAAGUCCGAAGUUACUUUGGGCACAAGUAAUCGACCUACCCUCUAGUUUUAUUUCUAUUAUGUUAUGAUUACCAUAGAACGCUUGAGCAUGAAGUGGAUUCUGAUGGAAAGCCUCAAGGCCUACACCUAAGGCCCCACAAAGGCAUCCAUUUGGAUUCAUUCCGUUCUGCGAUCUAGAGAGUCUAAGUAUAAGGAUGAACUCUGAUGGGAAGCCUCAAGGCCUAGGCUACACCUAAGGCCCCACAAAGGCACCUAUUUGGGUUCAUUCUACUUCUUGGACUCGGGUAAUCAGAAGUAUAAUAGUUAGAAAACUCCGGCAAUCACAAGAACAAAUAUGAUGUGUUUGAGCACUGGUUUAGUUAUUUAUGGGAAGCUUCAAGGCCUACACCUAAGGCCCCACAAAGGCACCUGUUAUAACUAACACGGUUUCUCGGAUAUAUACAUAUAUACAAUUAAAACUCGACAUCCAUUUUACAUCUACCAUGCUGAAGAUGGCAGUGGCACGCCUGAGCACCUAAAAGUUAACCUUGAUUGUGAACCUCAAGGCCUAUACCUAAGGCCCCACAAAGACACCUCUCAAAGUUAACGUUGUCCUUCUCUUUCAGCUUUGCCCGACGAGCCUUGCCCGAAGAGUAUUGCCCGACAAGACUUGCCCGACAAAGCCCGAUAGCGAAGCAGAAGCCCGAUAGCAGCCCUCAACCGGCGCCAACCUCCAGAGGAGCUGUGUGCUCGUCGGCCAGGAAACAUCCCCGACAGAAAUUCCUGACGCGAACACUAGUAGGAACGCUUUGCAUAAUGUUGCCCACUGCAUGCAUGCAGUACUAUAUUAUUAACAAUAAAUCCAAAUCUGAAUUGUAAUGCGUAAGUCAUUGAAUCGAAGUUAACUUAUAUACCGAUUUUUUAAGGGGCUCUAGAGGGUUCCAUCCAUGCCUUUUGUGCACAAUGUAGCUGGUUUCAUUGGUAACGUCAUAAAGAGCCUUAAAACAUAUCUUCAUGUAAUUCGGUAGUUCAAAUUAAGGUGAGUAUAAAAUGUAUAUUGUAUUUCUAUAUUAUGAUUUACAAUAGAGAUGCUCUUUAUAGGAGCCAAAGGAGUGGACAACAACUAAUGGAAAUAGUAAAGAAAGACUAAUGGACAAUUAGUGGACUAGACAAAAUUAUGAAAGGCAUGUCUAAUGGAAGUACUCAUGAAAGGCUAGUGGACAAGCAAUCAAUGUGUUGAGAAGAAGAUUCCCUUUUACGCCCCCGCAAGACGGUGGUCCUGUCAGAGACACCGAUCUUGGAUCGUAACAAUUGGAAGCGUGGACGAGGAAGAGCUUUUGUGAGGACGUCUGCAAGCUGAUCCUGAGUAGAAACAUGUGAAACUUGAAGAAGCCCGUGAUUGAUGCGAUCACGAACAAACUGAAAAUCAAGUUCAAUGUGCUUCAUGCGAGAGUGAAGAAUAGGAUUGACACUAUAAAAAGUUGCCCUAAUAUUGUCGCAGGAAAUGGUUGGCUUAUCCAUUGAGGAGACACCAAGCUCAUGGAUAAGGGAUUGAAGCCAAGCUAGUUCAGCAGUAAUAGAGGCUAUGGCGCGGUAUUCUGCUUCCGUAGACGAUCGAGCGACAAAACAUUGUUUGCGAGAGCUUCAAGAGAUUAAGUUGCCACCCAAAUAGAUGACAUAACCCGUGGUAGACUUACGGUCAUCACGAUCACCAGCCCAGUCAGCGUCUGAGAAGGCAUAUAGACGAGAUGAGGCACUGCGGUGGAAGAGAAUGCCAUGAAAAACAAUGCCUUUUAGAUAGUGGAUGAGACGUUUCAAGGCCUGCCAAUGAGACUCAGUGGGUCGAUGCAUGAACUGUGAGAGUUUGUUGAUGGUAAAUGAGAUGUCAGGGCGGGUGAGACUGAGGUAUUGGAGACCUCCAACAAGUUGUCGAAAGGUAGUAGCAUCAGUGAGAGGUGAGCCAUCAGAGAGAAUCAAAGGAGUAGAGGUAGCCAUUGGUGUGGUCACAUCCUUAGCAUCAUCCAUUUUAGCUUUAGCGAGAAGAUCAUGGAUGUAUUUAUGUUGAGAAAGAAACAAACCCGUGGUGGUGGGUAUCACUUCAACCAAGGAAAGGAAAUGAAGGUUCCCAAAUCUUUGACAAAAAACGAUUUCCAAGACUUGAAUGAACAUAGAGAGGAGACUGGUAUAUAUUUAUUUCCUGUAAGAAUAAAGAAGAUCAUCAAUCAACAUAAACUAGAAGGAAUAUCACAUCAUUAUCCUGACGAAAAAUAAAGAGAGAGAUAUCUGAGAUGGCAUUGAUACAAAUCCUUGAUUGAGCAAAAAGGUGCUCAACUCCUUGUACCAUGAUCGGGGCCUGCUGCUUGAGGCCAUAUAAAGCUUUGCGAAGUUUGCAGACAUGUGUUGGAAUGGUAAAUUCACGAAUAACUGUUGACCAUGGGGAAUUGUACCCAUGUGGUUUUCAAACAAUCAUUUCAGGAUAGUGAUCCAUGCAAAAAGCAUUGUUCACGUCUAAUUAUUGACGAAGAGGCCAACCCAACCAUGUUUGAGUGAGCCAAAUGAAGAAACAAUACGGAUGGUGGUGAGUUUUGAAAACACAACUGACUGAAGGUGUUUUAAGAGAAAUCCACGCCAGAGACAUUGGUGAAAGCCUUUAGCACAAAGGCGUGCUUUGUACCUAUCAAUGUUGUGCAUGGAAUGUGCAAGCCAUUUCAGAUUCAUUGUGAAUCUUUUUGAUGCGGAAGACCCCAUUGCAACGCCCGAUAGAGAUUCUGUGAAGGCUUGUUAAGGAGGAAGGAACAAGCUCCCAUGUGCCAUUGCGGAUUAAACGCCUUAAAAACUCGGACGACACUUGCUGGCACGAGCCAAAGAGGGAUCUUUUAAUAGCCUGCAGAAACACAUGUUGGUUCAAUGGAAGGAAGUGGGAAUGUGGUGCUUUGGUGGCAGUUGGGAAAUUGUUUUUUAGGUCUUUAAGAUAUUGUUUUUGGCUUCUGGUAAUAUGGGGUGAUGGUUGAAAUUAUUAGGUGGUGGUGGUGGUGGGGUAAAGGAAUGUAUUUGGAUGUGGUGGUGGGGGUAAAGGAAUGAUAGAGGGGUGUGGUGAUGGGUAUGAGAUGAGAUGAUGUUGAGGAGGAGGGGGUAAGUAGUCGCAAAUGGUGAUGGUGCAGCGGCAGAGAAAACACAAAACUCCGAGACCUCCGUAAAGAUGUAUGAAUGGCAGCAUGCUGAGAAGAGGUGUGUGUGAGGAACUGGUGGCACUUCGGGCAAUGUGAGCAGGAAUGGAGAUGGCGGCUUGAGUGACAGGAGACCAUGCAGUGGAGUCGGGGGAAGGAACUGAAGGGAGUGCAAAACAGAGUCAAAAGAAGAAAAGGAAAGUGUUUUCAUCAAAUCGAACGUGACGGGAAACAAACAUACGACGGAAAGGGAGAUCAAGACAUAGAUAAGCACUUUGAGUAGAGGAGUAACCAAGAAAGAGACAUGGACGAGAUCGAGGAAGAAGCUUGUUGGAAUUAUAGGGUCUUAACCAAGGGAAACAUAAGCAACCAAACACACGAAGCUUAAUGUAGUUAGGAAGAUCACCAAAGAGAGCUUUGUAUGGAGAUAUAUUAUUGAGAACAUGAGUGGGCAUCCUAUUAAUAAGAUACACAGCAGUUUUGAAAGCAUAAUGACCAAUAAUAAGUUACAAAGAUAGGGGUAAGGAUGCUUGGUGGAGAAGUGUUAACCCUGUUUUCGACAACAUGGCGGUGGCGGCGUUCAGUACAACACCAUGUGUUCAGAAGUGUGUGGAUGAGUGGUGAGGUGAGUGAUGCCAUUUGUGGAAAAGAAAAUGUUUGAGUUUAACAUAUUCUCCUCCUCCGUCAGAGUAGAAGGUGAUUAUUUUGGUGUGGAAGUAGUUUUCUACAAGAGCUUUAAAGGUUGUGAAGAUUGAGAAAACAUCGGAUUUGUGUUUCAUGGGAUAAAACCAAAUAUAUUUCGUGAAAUGAUCGACAAAGAUAACAUAGUAUGAAAAACCAUCAGUAGAUAAAUAGGAGGAGCAGGGACUUAUACAUACAUCACUAUAAAUUAGUUCAAGGGGACGCUUACUAACAAGCGUAGAAUGACCAAACGGGAGCUUGUGGCUCUUAUUGCAAUGACAAGAAGUGCAAAGGAGUUGAAGACAUAGGAAUUGAGGAGGUACGUUGGAUUUGAAGAUAGGUUCGAUGGUUGGGGUGACCAAGCCUACGGUGCCACACAUUGGAGGAGUCCAUCACACUACUCAUAACUUGUUUUUGAGGCAUCAAGCACGGCCACUCAUAUGUAUCGUUCUUAUUCGGGCCUCGAAGAAGUGCCGCUCCCAUGUUGAGAUCCUUGACAAGAAAGGAAUCAGGAAAAAAUUCAAUAGAGGUGGCAUUUUGUCUAUUAAAUUUGGCAAUGGAAAUAAUAUUACGGGAAAUGGAAGGAACACAAAGGACACCAUUUAAGUGAAAUGGGGUGGUAGAGGAAGAAGAGAGUGAUGUGGAACCAACAUGUGUAAUACUUAAACCUGUUCCAUUACCAAAUAACAAUUUGAUCAGGACCAUCAUAGGUAGUGGAGUCCGGAUGUUCCUGGAGUCAGAAGUAAGACAUGGUGAGAGCACUCGAGUCGAGCAGCCAAGCAGCCAAGGAGAUGAUGUUGAGGGGCGGAUAGUGGUGUGGUUGACCAUGGGUGGAGCGGAAGAAAGUUGAGGGCAACGUUUUGCACUAUAUGCCCUUGAGUACCACACCAAUGACACAAAACCACGAUACCCCGUAUAGAGAACGAUGAUGAUUGGAGUUUGUGGUGGUUAGCACGGUUAGAGUUGUAGGUGGUAUUUGUUGGACGCUGCUGGGAGGCUUGUGUGGCCCUGAAGUCACGCUAGAAGGAGCGGGGAGCUUAAGCAACAAGGGCAGUCAUAGGAGUAACAGCAGCUGGUGGUGCAUCUCGUUGGAGGAAAGUUUCAUGUUCAAUGAGUUUGUCAUACCGAUUUUCAAAAGAGAUGGAGGUAUCGCUAGCUCGAACAACGACAACGAUUUCUUUGAAGGCAGGUCCAACACCAUUGAGGACGUGUAGAACAACAUCAUCGUCGGAGAGUGGAGAAUCAAUGAUGGCAAGCUCAUCAAUGAUAACUUUGAUAGCUUGUAGAAAAACUGACACAGGUUGUGUAUCGCGACGCAUGAGCGUAAGACGCUCUUUGAGGUUGAGAACCCGAGAGCGUGUUUUGUUGGCGUAGAGCUUGGUGAGCUUGUCCCAAGCCUCCUUAGAUGUUUUAGAGAAGGAAAUGAGAUAUAUAAUCUGUUCAGAGACAGAAGCUAAGAUAGCAUGUAGUAGCAGCUGAUCUUGACGAAUCCAGAAGGUGUAGCACACAGUAGAGGAGGCAGCAGGACGUGGUUUUGAUCCAUCAAUGUAACCCAUCAGGUCAUACCCAAGAAGCAGGGCAUUGAAUUGAGCUCGCCAUGAAGGAAAGUUGGUGGGUGUGAGUUUUAGAGGUAACUGAGCAGCAGCGUUAAUGGUGAUAGGGGUGGGCAAGGGGGGUGAGUUGGUGGAUUCAGCCAUGAGGAUCGGAAAAAAAAUUGCUCGAUGGAGCUUUGUUGCUCUUGAUACCAAAUUAAGGUGAGUAUAAAAUGUAUAUUGUAUUUCUAUAUUAUGAUUUACAAUAGAGAUGCUCCUUAUAGGAGCCAAAGGAGCGGGCAACAACUAAUGGAAAUAGUAAAGAAAGACUAAUGGACAAUUAGUGGACUAGACAAAAUUAUGAAAGGCAUGUCUAAUGGAAGUACUCGUGAAAGGCUAGUAGACAAGCAAUCAAUUUGUUGAGAAGAAGAUUCCCUUUUAGUUCACCAGUUGCAUCAAUAUCCCAUCUGCAAAUAAUUAAUUACAUGCGUUAAUGUCAGCGCAAGUGACUAUGAAUUAGACCGCUGAUAGUCAUGCAUGAUUCAAAUUCACAAUCUAGCAACAUAUUCACAUUUUAUUUGCACACUAGUGUAACAUGUAGGAUAUCAUAAAACCACACAAGUACACGAACCUCUCAACUGCAGCUGUGAAGAGAAUGAGUUCAUCGAGGGUGCCCUGAACAUCAAAAAUAUCGUCAAUUAUGUAGACAAGAGAGAUCGAUUUUGUGAGUUCAACCCUUUCCUCUGAUAAGCUUGGAUCUGCUAGGCAUGCCAUCGGCCACGUAUACCAUUUAAUUGGCUGGUCUCUCACGAACUUCAACUCCUUAGUCAAGCCUAGUUCUUUCCACCACCUAAUUAUUACGAUGAAAAAUAUUUUCAUUAAUUAAAAAGGAGUACUAACUUAAAAUCAGUGUCUAGUGUCUUUGGAUCUGAACUCACUUGGAUACUUGUUGAACUUCAUUUCGGAUUAGAGAUUCAACCAUGUUGAACUCUAGUUUUGCUAGCUCCCGCAAAACAUUGACCCAUUUCUCCUUCCCUUCGAAAUUAUUUAAGUAGUUCUUAGCCAUGAAUCUUGUCAAGCUCUUGUGAUAAGGAUGCUCUAAUGAGUACGCGAAGGAUGAAGCUUGAUGAUCAUCGAGGUUGUUUUUCAUCCAAUCCGUGAGAAGCUGGUGGCUUCGCCUUCCAGCUUCAUCAAGUGACUCUUCUCCUGGGAAGCUCAAAUGAGAUGCUUCAUAUAAUCCUACUAAUCCGCUUAUGUCGACUUCCUUGUUGUUCUUGAACUUAUUAAAUAUUGCAUCUGUUAAUCACAAGGAAAAUUAAUUACUUUGUAGUAAUGGUGACAUUAGCUUUCAGAGUAAUGUUAGACAGACCAAAUUUUUCAACCAAAUUUGACAUUUGUAUCAACAAACAAACAAAUAAAUGUUCACUUGGUCGUUUUAAUAAAAUAACAUUUUGCAGUAAAGUUAGGACAAAAAGAGAAUUGAGACCAACCUGUGGUUACAUGAUAACCUUGUUGUCUCAGUAGUCGAAAACGAAGUGAAACCACACCAAGUUCAUCACUGCCUUCAUCACCAUAAGCUCUCGUGCAUUGCUUUUUUUAAAUUGCUUCAAUCUCCUCUUGGAAAUGAUAGUCAACGCCUAGGCGUUGCAUGGCGUCAACCGCAAUCAAUUGUUCAUCUUCUCCGAUGUUUGCGAGUGCAUCCUUCAAUUCCUUCAAUUUCUUUGCAUAGCGAACCUGAAGGUCGCCCUAAAAGGGGAAACAUUGAACUUAGCAUGAUAAGCAAACACUAGGCUGAAAUUACAUAGUAAAAAAAUAAAGGUGAAUUGUCAAUUUAGUUUCCGAAUUAUCAUCUGAGUGAAAAUAAGUUCCUAUACUAUUUUUUCAGUCUGUGAAUUAUAAAAAUCUGCUAAUUACAUUCUUAAUAUUAGAUACGAAGCUACUAUAUUCAAUUUUCUGUCAAUUUAAGUCACGUUACUUGCAUGUGAUUCACAUUGGAAGGUAGAUUGAUAUUUUUUCAAAAGACAGUGUAUAGAGUUAACUUAGGAGGGUAAAUUAGACGUUACAUUCGCAACCUAUAUGAAAUGUUAAAGGCUUAUAAGCGAGAAAAUGAUAGUAUUAUACUCUAAAGUAACAAGUGACUUAAGUUGACGAAAAAUUGGAUAAAAUAGCUUUGAAUAUAAUAGUAUGAAUGAUAUUAGCAAUUUUUUAUCAAUUUAGGUACUUAUUUUACUGAAAAAAUAAUUCUAGGACCUAAUUUUCUUUAAGGUGAUAUUUUAAGGACUAAAUCGGCACUUUAUUCUAAAAGAAAAAGAGAGAGAAGAUAGUGUGUGGAGUAAUUAAGUAACCAAGUAGUGUUAGUUUUGGUACAUGAGUAGUGGAUUUGUGGAGCAAUUUGGACACUAAUGUGUAUAUAAAAUAUAUAUAUAUAUAUAUAUAUAUAUAUAUAUCUAUAUGUUGGGUUAUUAUUUUUGGAACUUACAAUAACUUGUCCCUUGGAGGAAGCAGAGUGAGCUUGAAGGAAGUGUGCCAUUUUCUACAAGAAAGAAAUUAAGAAAUUCCAGUUUUGGAUGAGAGAAAAUACUUGUUGGGAAUGAAGUGAGGUGAUCAGCUCAUGGUGAUUCCUAGUGAAUUUAUAGGGCAAUGUCUCUUGGCAUCCAAUGCAAUGGAGCAUGCGGAGCAGUGGCGGAGCCACAUGGAGACUAGGGUAGUCCAGGGCCUAUCCUGGAAAUAAAUUUAUAGCGAUUAUGUAGUAAAUUUUGCAGUAAUGUGCAAGUGGUGUGUUGGUAUGUUAGGUUUUAAUGGUUUCAUUAGGUCUUGGGGUCGAUGCUUGCUGACGAAAAGCUAUUUUUUGGUAUUUUUUACCAAUUAUCAUAUAUAACUAACCUUCUGCUAACAUUCUGAUUUCUUUUAACCAAUUAUUUUUGUGUUAGUUCAUAUAAAACAAGGUAUAUAUAUUCGGGAGGAAGAUUAAAUGAUAUUAAAAAAAAAGUAUCGUAAUAAUAGCUUAUUUUUUUGUUAGUUCAUAUAAAAUAAGGUAUAUAUAUUCAAGAGAACGAUUCAAUAAUAUUAAAAGAAAAAUAUUGUAAUAAUAGAUUGAGCUAGUUAUAACAUUAUUAUUAAUGUUGCGUUAGAUGUCAACACAUGUUCUAUUUACUAUGACAUCUCUCAAUACUAAUUUUUUCAUACAAAUUUUAAAGCUCCAUCACUCUUGUUUGAUUCAAAUUUUCCAUGAUAUUACUAUUUUUUUUUCUAAUUUCUUUCAUUAGUUUAAAGGCCUUUGUGGCAUGAAUUUCUGGCUCCGCCACUGAUGCGGAACGUUUUGCACACUUUAGUGGUGGGAUCAAUGUGCACGAUGAUGAAGUUGAGUACUUGAGCUCGAUUGAUGCAUAUUUUUGUCUUAACAGUACACAACGUUUUGCACCCUUUAUUGUUGGAGAAAUAAGAUAGUUGAAUUCGUCAGGGACUUGAUAUUAACAAUGCAAAAUUUUAUUCUACACUUCUUAUAAGUGUAUUUUUCUUUUUAAUUAUAGAAAGUUUAGAGUGCAAAAUAAGAUUUUUAAAGUGCCAAUAACAAUCUCAUUUUCUAUAUGCUAAAACUCGGUUCAAAAAACAUUGUUCACCAACCGUAAAAUGACAAAUGGCCCUCCACUAGCUCUCCAUUCCUCGUUCUUUUUCCUCCUUAGCAUAGUGGAAUGACGCCUUUGUCCACACUGCCCACGUGUCGAUCAUCAUCCAAUGCUCUGCUUCGACUACAUCUUCUCGACUCUUCAUUCCAAUUUCACUUCUUCGUGUCUAUUUUUUGACAUUUUCUGUAGCAUUUAGCCAACAACCCAAGUUAUAUGCUUAACUAUUGUAGCUCCCAUUUUUAACCGUACUUAGGGGAGGGGGCUCAUCAGAUUUUGGUGGGCAACAAUGCAUCUAACCUCCUUGACCGUCCCUAAAAUUCCAUUUCAAUCUCACUUUUAUCCUUUGAAACUCAAAUUUCGCCUAUUCCUUUUCAAAAGAGUAGCAAAAAAUAAGCAUAGAAAUGUUAAGACUUCACUGAACUCUUCUCCUUCUAGCAGACGAUAGCCACAUAAAACCAAAACCUAUCCACACCAACAAUCCUUAGAUAUACACAUAAGCACAUGAAAUUAACUGUAAUUUUACAUAUUUAAGCUAUUUAAAGCUGUUGGGACAUUAUUUCAGAAAAAAAUGGCCAGUGGAUGAAGAUUGAAGAAGCCUCCUCUUCUUUUCUUUUUUUCCUUUUUUUUCAAUAUAUGUGGCACCAUUUGGUUGGAUGCGUUGAUCUUAUACUUAUGUCUUAGUAAACUUAACGAAUAUGUAACAAACAAGAUAAAAAUCAAGCAAAAAUGGAACGAAAAUUUAGUUCCAAGGUAUUAAAUAGAAAAUUUUGAAUUCAAUGGGAAAAUAAGAUUAAAAUCAAGUUUGAGGAGGCAUAGGAAAAAUAAAAAUGUUGCUGUUUCAUUUAAAACUCAGUCAAUAGUUAAUACAGUUACACAUCAAUGGUAGGGAUGAGCAUUGGACAAACAUAGUGGGAUUGGAGUUGGGCAAUCCAUGUCCAUUAAACAUAAGGAAAACUAAUGAAAAGAGCUUGAAAACUUUGAGUUUUAAUGAUAAAGACAAAAUAAAGGGUAAAGUGAAUAGUACCAGGAUUGACUUUUUAGUGUAAAAAUGUGGUUUUUCGUUAAAGUGAACAGUUUCAUGAGUUUUUCGUUAAAGUUCUCUUAAACAAAUGAUGAAUGGGGACCAUUACCCAAAAAAAUCCAUUUAUACAUUUAAUGGAGACCCGUAGUCCUUCCUACACAACCCAUUCCCACCGAGAGAAGAUGAGCGAGACAGACCACAAAUGCUACUCAAAAGUAUGAUCUCUUGCCUUACAUUUUAACGUUAAUUUUCGUGUUAUAAUUAUAAAACGUUAUCCCAACAUUAUAAAACAUUUGUCUCACUUUUAAGACCAAAUCUAACCCUGGGCUAAAUGCUAUUUUGUAGGUUUUAUUCCCCCCCCCCCCUCAAACCCAACCCAACUCAUGUAAAUGUGUGGGCUAAAAGCUAAAUGCCAAAUUCCCCCUAGGAUUUAGCCCAUAAAAUGGUGUGGGCACCACCAGAGGGACCCCACCUACAUGGGCAUGUCUCACAGGAUUUAAUGAAUCCAACGGCUGAGAUCGAAUAUAAUCAAAUUUAACUGUAAAAAAAAAAAUCUAACGGCCCAAAUUUAAAUCUAACGGUUAAAAUAAUUAAAAAAAAUUAUUUAACUCAAAAUUCACCCAAAUUUAGUGGUUUUUCAAUAUUUAUCAGAAUUUAAAUAUUUUUAUGUUAAAAUGUUAAUAAAAUUAAAAUUAUGAUAGUGUACAUAAUUUAAUUUUUUUUUUAAAUUACUUUAAAAGAAGAACAACAACCCAAAACGCUAACUUUGUGGAACUUUCAUUGUUUUUGUUAACAUUGAUUACGACCCCCGAGACUGAAAGCUAAAUUGGUAUUAAUUCCACUCCAUGCAUCUUGCUUUUUCACCUACAUACACAGCUAAGAGCACUUCUAAAAGAGAUGUCAAAAUAUAAAUGUUAAAUGUUAAUUUGAUGGCUGACGUGGCAAUGUUAGAUUUUCUCUUUUUCCAACUGAUAUGUUUCUUUAUUAUAAAUGAUAUCUGUAGGAUUCAUUUUAAAAAUAAAUCAAUUAAAAUACAUUUUCAAAAUCUAUAAUUGAUGCAUUAAUAAGCCUCACACAGUAAAAUAAUUAAAAAAAAUUUGACAUCAAAGUCAUUACAAAUUGUACCAUCUCAAUCAUAAACGGCAUCCCUUCUGCACAACAUGGUAAAGUUUUUUCACGUUCCUUGUCACAUUAGUCCAUAAAACAACAAAGGAUCUUUAAUCCCAGUUUUACCGACCAAGCGAAAACAAUCCUUAUCCAAAGGAUUGCAUGGGAUCUUCAUUUGAACUUUAGCAGCCUAUCUUCGAUCCUAAUGCAAUAAUACCAUGACAAAAUCACAAUAAUAAAAAAAAAAAGGUCGUACCCAGUGCACAAUAAUAAUCACUGAAAAUCUAACGUGUAAAACCGGAAUCCUUUCUUCAUCCAACAAGCCUUAAUUAUAUCGGGCGAUAGUGUUAAAUCGAGUCUAAACAAUUAGAGAUUAAACCAUGCUGAACUCUAGUUUUGUCAAGCUCUUGUGAUAGGGAUGCUCCAAUGCAUAUGCGACUGCUGAAGCUUGAUGUGUUAGUGUUGAAGAACAAUGUUUGAGUUAUAAUUUUAGUCUUGAAAAGGCUCAAGAGUUAAAGAAUAUGUGGAACAAACAAUAACAAUACUUUAAUGUGAAACGGAAAGUCCAAUUUUUGUUACAGAACUUAAAAUAUGUUUUUAGAUGUAUAAACGACCUUGGUUAGGGAUUGGUUUAAUUAAAAACAUGUAUAAUUAUAUGUUUACUGUAAUAAUCUUGAUCGUUAAAUUUAGUCAAUGGACGAGAUUACUGAGAGGAACAAGAGGCAUGUUCAACAACUAUUCAUAUAUGUGUUGUCACAUUACAUUUUCUACUGCUAAAUAACCUAGUCCAAUAUGCUCAACGGGUACAUUUUCUUUUUGGGCUACGGUCAAGACUCAAGCCCAUAUCCAAAGAGUUCGAGUUGUAUUUUUUACAUUACGUAUUUUAAUAGAAAUUGUGAGAAAUUUUACUUUUUAAUUAUUAAUUUUUUAGCAUGCAUAUUCCAUCGCACUGAAAAAUCUCUGGUCUCAGAAGAUGUCGUUAAGUUCUCCAGCGCUCCUUCUGCACCGCCACCCAAUCUAACGUCACCAACGGCAGGAGCAUUGGCGCCAUCUCCACCGACCUCUACAAAGAGCGCAACCUCAAACGCCUCUCAGAAGUUGUCAAUUGAACCAGAUGUGAUGUCGUAUAAUACUAUGAUCGAGGCAUUUUGUGAAAUGGGUUCGUUGGAUCGGUGGUUUCGAUGGGAUGGAGAAGAAGGGUGUUGAGUCGGAUAUAAUCAUGUUCAACACGAUCAUGAAUGGGUUGUUUGCGAAUGAUCAGUUUUUGGCAGCCGAGAAGCUGUGGAGUUGAAUGAAGAAUGUUGUCCCUGAUGUUAGGAGCUACAAUGCCAGGUUGUUGGGAUUGGCUUCGGAGAAGAAAACUGACGAGGCGGUUGAAUUGUUCGAGGAAAUGCGGAACAAGGAAGUAAAACCUGAUGUGUUAAGCUUCAAUGCCAUGAUCAAGGGAUUUGUUAAUGAGGGUAAAUUGGAAGAAGCUAAACAGUGGUAUCGUGAACUGGUGAAGCGUAGUUGUGCUCUGCAGAAAUGAACUUUCCAGGCUCUUGUUCCUUUUGUUUGCGAGAGGGGUGAUUUGGACUUUGCCUUUGAACUCGGCGACAAAAUUUUCAAAGGGCGUCUCCUUGUGGAUGUGGAGUUACUGCAGACUCUGGUGGAUGGGAUAGCUAACGCUUCCCGGAUCAAUGACGCAAAGAAGAUUGUGAGGCUUGGGAACACAAAUACAUACCUGCGUUACAAUUUGCAGUUGCCUUCAGAGGAAUAAUGUAUUUCUGUUGUUGUUUGUUUCUGUUUGCAUGUCGAAAUGUUUGUGCUUUUAUUGCUAGACACUUCUAAUUUAUAUAGUUAAAUUUGUGCAAGCUUCAAACAUUCCUUCAAUUUCAGUGUUGAAUAGUUAUUAUUACACAGAUUUUCAUACAGCAUGGAUUUCAUAUACGCCUCAAGAGGUGGAAGGUGUUGGUCAUCAUCGUAGCGACACAUUAACAGGACCAAUUCUUUGUUUAACUGCUUCCAUUCUUCUUAAAUCAUAUUUACAGCAUUUUCUUGUGUUUCCUCCAUUGAAGAACCUAGAUUUUCAUCUAAGUAGCGUCGUAUGUAUGACCCCUCGUGCCGAUCCUGAUUCUCAUCCUUCAGUCAAGCUAUGCACAUUUUGAGAGAUAUGAACAAGAUGUUUACUCUAUGUAACGUGUUUGAUUUGAAUCUAAUUAUAUAUAAUCACCUCGGCGCUUCCCAAAUCUUCCUAAAGCCGAAGAAUUGCUGCUGUGGAAGAUGCAAUUUCUAGAGUUCUAUUCAACGGCUCCACACUUUCUUUGGUUAUACUUUGACCCAAGAGAAAGAAUCUAUGCACCAUCAUCGCAUUAACCCCAGAAGAAGGGUUAAUCUCAGUUUAUUACCCUGAAAUUUCUUAGUUUUCAACUUUUGGUACAUAAAUUUUUUUUUUCAUUGUAGUCUGAUACCUAAAGUCAUAAUUCUGGGACAUUUUCAUACAUCCGUUAAGUUUUCUGUCAGGACCUCAAUUAAUUGAUGAUGUGUCGCCCACUUGGACAAUGAUUGAGCGCCACGUUUCAAUAUGGGCCUAUGUGAAUAUUAAAAAAAUUAAAGUUUUUUCUUUCUUUUCUAGGCAUCCUACUUCCCUCGGACCCUCUCCCCUCAUUCUCCCUCCAUUCUUUGCACCCACCCUCCCUGCACACCCACUAUCUGCCCUGCUCCUCUUCCACCUAUCUAGGUAUGACAUAGGCCUUGCCGCCGCACAAAUGGGUCGGCGUUAUCGAAGGUCAGCCGCAGGUGGCGGUGGAUCAACGAAGUCAAUAGCGGAUCGGCGUUUAGGAGAUAGCGAAUCGCAGUCUCGAUUGCUGAACUAUCUUAAUCUUGGAGGCCAUGGUGACGGUGAAGGGUUUGGGGGAUUCAAAUACGGCAACUAUCUGAUGGGAGGAAUUGGGUGAAGAGGGUGGAGGAGAGAGAAGAGAGGGGAGGUGAAAAGGGUGGGGGUGGGUACCGUAUAGAGGUUGGGUGGGUGCAGAGGAGAGAAGGGAGGGAGCAAGGUAGAUGUGUGGGUGUGCAAGGAGGUGGGUGUAGGGAAAAGAAGGGAGGGAGAAUGAGGGAGGGUGUAAUAUCCCACAUCGCCGGAAGAGGGGAGGUGAUGUGCCUAAUAUGUAUAUGUCCACCUCCCUACAGUAAGACGCAUUUUGGGUGGAAGCCCAAGAACAAAAUCGUGAGGGCAUAGCCCAAAGCGGACAAUAUCUUACUUUGCGGACUGGGAUGUGACAAUUUGGUAUUAGAGUCACUGCCCAGCCGAAAGUGUGCCGACAAGGGCGUCGAGCCCCUAAAGGGGUGGAUUGUAAGAUCCCACAUCAUCCGAAGGAGGGAAGGUGAUGUGCUUUAUAUGUACAUGCCCACCUCCCUAUAGAAAGACGUGUUUUGGGUGGAAGCCCAAGAACAAAACUGUGAGGGCAUGGCCUAAAGCGGACAAUAUCUUACCAUGCGGACUCGUGAGGGCGUGGCUCAAAGCGGACAAUAUCUUACCGUGUGGACUAGGAUGUAACAAAGCGAGGCGGGAAGGGUGAGGCAGGAUGCCCAGAAAAGAUUUUUUUUUUAAAUUUCCAUGUGGACCCAUAUUGACACGUGGCAUCCAGUCAUUGUCCACGUAAGUGCCACUUCAUCAAUUAACUAAUGUUCUGACGGAAAACUUAACGGAUGUAUGAAAGUGUUCCAGAAUUAUGACUUUAAGUACCAAACUGGGACAAAAAAAACUUUAUGUAUCAAAGGUUGAAAAUCAAGAAAUUUUAGGGUAGUAAACUAAGAUUAACCCCCUAGAAGAAACAAUACCAUUCUUUAAGUAGUCUUCCGCCUUCGGCAAGUGCCCGGAUUUGAACCGUUUUGCUUCUGCUAAAAUGCAUUGCACAGAAUCCUCCACUGCACGUGAUAGUAGAAUUAACUAUCUGUUAAGCCUUCUCUUGAACAAACUAGUAAUUAAAUUUCAUGACACUAACCGGUUUAAUAUAUUACCUUCUUAAACGAAUGUAAUGGGUACCACCCAUGCUUUUGAUAGAAUUUGCAGCUGAUUUCAUUCGUCAUAUUGUAAAGAGACUUGAAAUAUAUGUUCAUGUAGUCCGGUUUAAGUGCUCUAUAGCACCAAUUUCGCAUCUGCAGCGUAACAUUUACUGAUCAAUUCACGGUGAAAACUGGUGAAGCCAAUUAAGAAAGUACAGGACAUUUUAUUGUUUACAUAUUGACAGCCUCAGUGAAGAGAGUAAGUUCAUCAAGCGUCUCGUACAUCGAAAAUGUCAUCAAUAAAUGGUUUUGUGAACUGAAUCCUCUCCUCUUACAGGUUAGGAUCUGUUGAGCGCAAACUACAGUUCCCUAGGCAGUCCCAUCUCUUUCCAUCACCUAAUUAUUUUGUUGGAUGAAAUAAACAGACAAAUUAGGAUUUCUAUAGUGCAGUUAACCGUAUUGUUUACAUGCGGAUAUAUUCUUGAUAUUGAUGAUAUUGUUGGUACUUCGACCUUGUAGAUAUGUGUACAACAUGGUUGGCGAUAAAUUGGACAACAUUUUUAAGAAGUGCUGUUAAAUGCACGAUGUCAGUUAAUUUUGGAAAUUUGAAUAUCUACUUCUGAUGUAUGGACUGAACCAAAUUAAAAUCCGUUUUGCCACAUCCUGUAGCAUAUUUAGCCAUCUAUUGUUCAUGCCAGCUUGGGAAUUAGUAACAAAAAAGUGGCCAUGAAUGUGGCCAAGCUUUUGUGAUGGGGGUACUCCAGUGUGUUCCCCACAACUCUGGCCUAAUGAGGACCAGGAUAGGACAAUGAUCUAUUUACGAGAUCACUACUCAAUUUUCCAGCUUCAUCAAGUGCAUCUUCUCCUUCCCUGCUUAGCUGUAAAGCUUCGUACACACUCAUCAAUCCCUUGACCUCUUAACUAAUUAACGUUUUCUUAAAAUGCUUCCUUCGCUUUCCUUCAAGUUGUUGACACAUCUAUUAAUAACAAAAGUUAUAAUUGGGAGUGAUUGACUGAUACUGAAUAUCAAUCUGCAAUACUAAGUAAAUAUAAGAACAAAUUGUUACCGAAAUUUUAGUUAUACUCACCCUCGGACACGAAGUGACCAUGUGGCCAUAACAGAAGGGCAACUUCAUGAAGGUCAUUUUGUUGAUGAGAAAGGCCAGGAGCUGAUAGAUAUGAUUAGGUCAAUUUGUUCUUCGAUAGUGGUAAUCUAUACCUAGACGUUGAACAACAUCGAUCAUGUUCAAACUUUCGAGCGCGCCUUCUACUCCUACUUUGCUCAAUACAUUCCUGAAUGCCUCCAACUUUUAUUCAUGUCAGAAACGGCAUGUCAUCCUGCAAGCAAAGUGGAGUUAUUUGAAGAGUGGACAUAGGUUUGGAUAUAAAUAGCUGAAUGAGAUCAGAGUGCCCAAGAAGUAGGAUCUUUUUUUGAGCAAUAUUUGGAGUGGAGAUAGCAAAGAUGGCCUGAGAAGAAAAUGCCAUAGAGGGAAGAGUACAAGGUAUGUACCUCGUUUAACAAGUGUUUAAAUUUGUUGGCAUUCUUCGGCACAUGUAUCUAACCAGGGCCGGAGCCAGAUAGAUGUAGGUGGCCCUGACCCUCUCGCACCAUUUGAGCAAGCAUACAUUAUUCCUUGAUUUGCACAAGUUGUUCAUCAUUCAAUGUUACUUUUAUAUUAUAUGUUUUGCCUAUCAGCCCCCCACACAUAAAAUUUUGGUUCCGUCAUUGUAUCUAACUGUUAAAUUAAAAAAUCUAUGUUAUACUUAAAUAUAUUUUAGAAUUUUCACUUUUUUACAUAACUUUGAAAGAAUUUUUAUUCCAUGCAUCAACCUACAUUGCUCUUAAUAUAUUGAGAGUAUGAGUUCCCACAUUGAGAAUAUAAGAGACCUUAUAUGUGUUUAUAAGGAAUUAGGCUACAUUUGAUACUUUCAAGGAAUUUUUUUUGAAAUGUCAUAUGAACUUGUUCAUAUUUUCAAUUUGUUAUAUAAACUAAAUUUUAAGCAAUUUGUUAUACCAGCUUUACAAAAUCAUUAAUUUGUCAUCUCACCCCAACUCCCGUUAAGUUUUCCAUCCAAUAUAAGUCAAGUGCCUCACACAAGACUUUUGUUCGGGGUUAUUUCGGUCAUUUUAACAUCUUUUCACAAGUAUUUUACUUUUCUUUAGUACAAGCACUUAAAUUUUUUACUUUUCUUUAGCACAUAUGCAUCUACAACCCCAUUUAUGGCACAAAACGUCAACAUGUUUCUCAUUUAUAGAGCCCGUAUGAAAUUAUUUCUUAGUGACAUGCUAAAAUGCAAACUCCCACUUGUGUAUCAUUACAUAUUUGGAAUAACCAGAAGAUAGUACAUUGCGUGAUCAUUCAUUGCUAUCAUAUAAAUUUAAACACUUGUGUAUCAUUACAUAUUUAGAAUAACCAGAAGAUGUCAUUUUUUUAUAAGGAAACAUCAACGGUAUGAGAUAAUUCUUUUUACCUGAUUAUGUCAUAUUCUCAAAGGGUGCGGAGAAAGAAAUUGUUUGAUUAUGUCAUGAAUUCCCCAAUUCGGAUACUUAAUAUCUUCGUGGUAUUUAUGUAAAGAAACAAAUAAUGUUUGCAUACAUGAAGAAUAGUAAGGGUUGGUUUGGUAUUGUUAUGCUUUGAAAAAAAAACUUUUUCUGCUGUAAUGUAAAAAUAAGCUCACUUUUGUUACUUUACGUUUUCAGCUUUUUUUUUCACUCAAAACUGUGAAAAUAAGGUGUUUAUAAGUGUUUACCAAACACAUUUUUGAGCUUAGCUUUUUUUUAUACCCACUUUUUAUAAAAACAUCUCAGUACCAAACCAGUACUAAGAGAGAUUGUUGAGAGAAAGAGGAAGCUUGAAGAGGAAGAAAAGGUUAUAUAUAUUUUCAGUAGUGAAUUACAAAGAGUACAUUUGGUUAUAUAUCUGUUGUUUUAGUAACUAAGUCAACUCAACAACCGUAUAACAAUCUUAACAGCCUUAUAAUAGAUUCCCUAAUCUACUGACACAUGGCACUUUAUACAUCCAUUGAUCCUAUAUUGUUAUCAUCCCUCAUCAAGCUCAGGAAAGGAAGCACCAAGCCUGAGAUUGCAGCAAUGUGUAUGAAAAAAUGGUGUACACGAUUCUUUUGUCAAGAUAUCAUCAAACUGUUCAUUUGAUGAGACAAAUUGCAUACAUAAAAGUUGUUUAGUAACCCUUUACCUGACAAAGUGAACAUCAAUCUCUAUAUGCUUUGUCCUUUGAUGCAUGACUGGAUUACAUGUAAGAGCGAUGCCAUACAAGUUAUCACAGAACAAUGUAGAAGGAAUAGGCACUGGAAUCUGCAGAAAAACAAGUAAUUGUCUAAUCCAAUCAAUAUCAGUUGUUGUGGAGGCAAUGUAACAACCUGUCCCAUAAUUUACGGAACGAAUGGGCAUUUUUAUAAUGUCACUAAGUUUGGGAUAUUUAUUUUAAAAAUUGUUUUGGGUCUUAAUGUGUGUGCCUGUGGGGCCCACUUGUUUUGGUUUUGUUCUCCGUAGCCUUAGUCCAUCUCUCUCCUUUUUUUCUCCCUCAUCCCAUGUGAACUCAUCUCCCUCACCUCUGCCGGUUUUCCUUUACCUCUCUCAUUCUCGGUGCUCAUCUUCGACAGGAUCACACAUUACAUACACACGACAACCCCGAGGACUUCACCAGCACCCCUAACAUCUAGACCUCCUCCUUUCUCUCUCUCUUUCCCUUCGAUACAUCUCGGCACUAUACAGUCACAGUGCUUGUGACUCCGGCGAGUUUUCAAAUAUUCCGACUAAGGUAAGCACCAUAGACCUCUAUAGAUUAUGUUUUCAAGUAGAUUAAAAUGUUUUGAGACAUUUUGGGGUGGUAUAAAUGUAGAGAUAACUCGGGGGAUUAUAUUUCCAGUUUUCCAGCAAGGUUCUGUGGCUUGCAGGCCAUUUCCCGGCCGAUCCUGAUGUCAACUUCAUUCCAUUUUGGUACAACUCGAAUCCUUAUUCUCUUACCUUUGAUUUGGCCUUUUAAUGGUAGUUUUUGGUUAAGGUUUAACCCCGGAUCGAAGCCAGGGAAGUUUUCUCAGCGAAAACUCAAGAAAACCAGCGUUCUUCUCCGGUGACUCAAGCGGCUUGCGAGGCCCUUGUGCCAUGGAAACCCCCGGCCCUUUAAGGGUAGCCCAAACCCAAACCCCUUGAGUUGAGGCGCUUGGGCCAUUCAGCUAGGGCCUUCGGCCCAUUAACCUAAAACCCAAAACCCUUUUGGCAACCUAGGCCUUGGGUUGUGUAAGAAUCCCAGGCCCAAACCUCUUAAAGCUCAACCCUUUAAAAGCCUAACCCAAACCUUGGAAAGAAUCGGCCCAACCCAACUGAUGGAAUAUUCCUUUAGGGAAUAUUCCCCUGUUGACUUUUCUGAAAUUUAACCGGGACCCUUUUUAGCGUAAUUCGACGUCCUGAAUUCGUUUUUGAUGUCCAUUUUCCUAAAUUCAAUCAUUUGAAUAGAGUUUUAUUGAUUGGACCCUUUAUGUGCUUAGGUACAAUUAUUAACGGCGAUUCUAUCCAGCUUACUUCAUGCAGCUCUUCGACAACGGAGUAUCUGUGAAUGGACCCCUUCUAAAAUGCAUGUUUUAAUAGUAGAAAUGCAUACAUGAAAAGCAUGAUUUAAUAAUUACGUUUUAUGAAACGUUUUAUGAGAUAUUAUGCUUACUACGAAUAUUUUGAAUUAUCAUAUUUUAUCGAACUCAUGUUCUUUGUAGUAUAGAUGAUAGAUGACUUUAUACUGCUUAUGAACAUGCUUUUGCACACUUCUUUAUAGUAUAGAUGAUGGAUGACUUUAUACUAUGAAGAUGUUUUUGAGAUAUAUAUACCUAUGUUUGGAAAGUUUAUGUACAAUGGUUUUGUGCUUAUCUAGUGGUCACUAUACCGCCACAGGCAAGGAUUAUGGUUGUUGGCUGCGGGUCGAGAGAAAUAAUCUCUGGCUUCAGGCCGAGAGACAUGGAGCUGGCAUUGGGCCAAGAGAAAUAAUAUCUGGCUAUGAGCAUAGAGACAUAAAAGUUGGCAUUGGGCUAAGAGAUAUUAUUAUUGGAUACCACUAUUUAUCACACUAUAUACGAGAUAUGUUUUAUAAAAGAUUUUAUGGCAUGCUAGGGUUUUCGGAAAACCUAUUACAUAUUAUACUAUUGAGUUUUCAUAAAACUUUGGGGGUUAAUACGUUGAAUAACUGUUUCAAUAUUAUAUAUAUAUAUAUAUCAACUUGGUCCACUCAUGUUGUAUUACGCCCCCUCAGAACUUAGAUUCGAGGUGUACAAUCCUAGCGUCAGGGCACUCCCGCAUCAGCAUCUUCGAGUCCUCUCAGUGUAUGACUCACCUCUUGGUUCAUUCAAUUUCAUAUUAUUCCUUGUUAGUGUUUAGGAUUAGUUGUAUGCUCUGAACACAUUCCUCAUUUGCAUAAUCAUUGUAUUUAAAUUCAUAACUUUUAUUUACAUUCGAUGUUCUCAUGCAUCCUAAUAUGGCCUCAUCACCUUCGGGUGUUGGCCAGUACGUGCCUACCCUGGUCUUCAAGGAAUAUUGGGGUCGGGCGUGUCAAGCAAUGACUUUAUAUUCAGUCUCAAUAAAGAAUUGAGAAAUUGUGUUCUGUUUAUUGGAAGACCAAGAGAUAGUAGGAUUAUACCCCAAGAAAACUACAAGUCCAGUUGUUGACGUUCUGUCAUUAGGGUAUCUAGCCCAAUCAACAUCACUAAAUCCAUGUAAAUCUAAGACACCUUUAACAAAUUGAAUACCAUUGUUCUGUGUACCCUACAAAUACCUAAGUAUCCUUUUUACAGCGAGAAAGUGAGACUCCAUUGGACAAUGCAUGAACUGACAGACUAGAUGCAUUGAGAAUGCAAUAUUUGUUCUAGUAAAGGUAAGGUACUGAAGUGCCCCUACAAUACUUCUGUAUAAUUCAAGAUUGUUCCCAUCAUCUUUGAGCAAUAUGUUAUAUGACACAUUUCUGUUUUUGUAAGUAAAUCAGACACGAUCUUAGCUUGAGAAAGAAACAACCCCUCUUAAUUCUAAGUAAUCUAAAUGCCAAGAAAGUGUCCCCAAGUCUUUAAUAUCAAAUUCCUUAGUCAAGGCAGCAAUGACCAGGUUGCUAAGACUGUUAUAAGUUGUUGAGUAACAGAAAUAUCUUCAAUUGUUUUUUGUAAUGACCACACAACGAUUUUGCAUUGUAGGUAAAAAGCUCAAUUCAAUAAAUCAAAUAUUGUAACCAAUCACGUGACAUGACAAACAAUUAAUAUAUAGUUUGACUAAUUUAUAAUCACAUGACAUCUAAAAUUAUGCAUUAGUUUUAGAGAAAUUCCUCCAUAAAACUACUAAAUGUUGGGGCCACAUAUUUCCCCCAAAUUCAUGUGGACAAGCUAUUCAUGAUCCAGCUGGUUGAUGAAGUUGAGAGUAUGAACUUUAUACCGAAAAACUAAAGUCUCACUUCUUGGAUAUUUUUAUUCAUUGUUAAUCAAUUUUUAGUUGGAUGGCCACAUAAUAGUUUAGUUUGUAACAACUUAGCAAAUCUCGGCCCUUCAACAACUAGGAUAUUUUUUUCUUUCAGAAAAUAAAACAACUGAAGAGCAUCAAAUUAAUCUCUUCAUUUUGCAUUCUCCCUUCCGGUAGCGAUUCACAUGCCUUGCACUUAUGUUCUAGUUGUUUAUUCCUUGCUCAGUAGGAUAUUAAUGUAUUAUAAACUAGCUAGGGUAAUUCUAUUUGUACCCAUUGCACGUAAGAAAUCGAAAUCAAACCAACUUCAUGCAUGAAGCAUCGAUUUCAUGUACUCGUCAAGAGAUGGAAGGCACUGGUUGUCGUCGUAGCUGUACAUCAAUGGCACCAUUCUUGCGAGAUUUAGGGAAGCCUUUGUGAAUGCCGCGGGAAGUGGAUUAGGAGACACCAAUUCUUUGUUCAGCUUCUUCCAUUCUUCUGAAAUCAUAUUUGUAACAUGUUCUUGUGCUUCCUCCAUGGUCUUGCCUUGAUGUUCAUUUAAAUACAACUUUACAUAUGACCCGUCGUCCCCAUCUUGAUUCUCAUCCUACAAUCAGUACGACGAUAAGAAAAUCUGACGUGCUCUAUGUGCGUAUAUAUACAUGCAUGCUACAAAUUUUGAUGGACAAAUAUAUAUAUAGCUUUUCUGUGAUGGAGUCGGCCAAGACAUCGACCACACAUGAUAUAGAACCUCAUAAGCAGGGAUGAAUAGGCAUUUAGUUAGUAGGGUGCUUGAUAUAAAUGAUACUAUAAAUAUGUAGUUACCUUGGCACUUCCCAAGUCGUCCCAAAGCCGAAGAAUUGCUGCCGUUGAAGAUAUAAUGGCUGGAGUGCCAUUCAAGAACUCCACACUUUGAUUGGUUAUACCUUCACCCAACAGAAAGAAAAUGUGGACCAUCACCACAUUCACCCCAGAAGAAAUAAUUCCAUUCUUCAAGUACUCUUCAGCCCUAGGCAAGUGCCCAGAUUUGAACCAUUUUGCUUCCACUAAAAAUGCAUUGCACAGACUAGCCCACUGCACGCAAACAAAUAGAAUGAAUUAAGCUAUAAUUAAGCCUUUCUUAAUAUGCUAGUAUAUAAUUGUCACGACAUUAAUCCAGUUAGAUAGAUAUACUUAAUAAUAAGGCAAUACUACAGUUUACAUAUAUAUAUAUACCGUCUUCUUUAGCGAAUGCAACGAGUUCCAUCCGUGCCUUUGAUAGAUCUUACAGCUGAUUUCAUUCGUCAUAUCGUAAAGAGCCUUGAAGCAUAUCUUCAUGUAGUCCGGUAAGUGCUCUAUAGAACCAAUUUCCCAUCUGUAGCAUAACAAUGUUCUUGUCAGUUCACUGUGAAAAGUAGUGAAAUUAAUUAAGAAGUUACGGGAUGUUUUAAUUAUUGCUACCUAUUGACAACCUCCGUGAAAAGAGUGAGUUCAUCAAGCGUCCCGUAAACGUCAAAAAUGUCAUCAAUCAAAUAGAUAAAUGAGAUAGGUUUUGUGAGCUCAAUCCUCUCAUCUGACAAGUUUGGAUUUGUUAGGCAAGCCAUGGACCAAAUGUACCAUUUAAUAGGUUGGUCUCUUGCAAACUUCAACUCCUUACACAAUCCCAGCUCUUUCCACCAUCUAAUUAAGUUAAUUGAAACAAAUAAACAUUGAUUAGCAACUGGUUAAUUUAUUAAAUAUAGAGACAACAAUUGAAGAUUAAGGUGCUAUUUUCCAAUAAAGUUACUUACUUGGAAACUUGAGCAACUUCUUUCUGGUGAAGGGACUGGACCAUAUUUAAAUCUGUUUUUGCUACAGUUUGUAAUAUAUUUAGCCAUCUAUUAUUUGUUCCUUGGAAGCUAGAGAGACAAAAAAGUUCUUGGCCAUGAAUGGGGCCAAGCUUUUGUGAUGAGGAUUUCUCAAUGUGUUUCCAACAACUCUGGCCUGGUGAUGAUCGAGAUGUGACAGUGAUGAAUUUAGGAAAUGGCCACUAAACUUUCCAGCUUCUUCAAGUACAACUUCACCCUCUAUACUUAGCUGUGAAGCUUCAUACAAACUCAUCAACCCCUUGAUGUCUUCCCUUAACAUUUGAUUGAAAUUUCCUUCUCUGUUCUUGAAGUUGUUAAACACAUCUAUAUUCACACGAUAAACACACUAGUUAUCAAAAUAUCGAAAUUGUAUUGAGUCAAUUUACUGGUACCGAAUACCAAUCUAUAUUACUGAAUUAUAGUUAACACUCACCAUCAGAGACGAAGUAACCAUGCUGCCUGAGUAGUCGAAAGCGGAGAGCGACUUCAUGUAGGUCGGUGGGAUGGUGAGCACCAUGAGCAGUAGUACUAGAUAUUAUAUGUUGCUUUUGGAGAAUUUGGUCAAUUUCUUCUUCAAAGUGGUAGUCUAGACCUAGCCGUUGAACCGCAUCGAUCAUGUCCAAACUUUCAACUGCUUCUCCUCCCACUUUUAUCAAUGCAUGCCUUAAGUCGUCCAGUUUUUGUUCAUUCUGGAAACAAAUUAUGCCAUCCUGCGGACAAGGAAUUGAAGAGAGUCGAUUUUCAACCAUGUAUGUACAUGUGUGUGUGUGUGAGAGAGAGAGAGAGAGAGAGAGAGAGAGAGAGAGAGAGAGAGAGAGAGAGAGAGAGAGAUGAUUUUUCUUACCUUAGAUGAAGUAUACUUCGUUUUGGAGUUAAGCGGUUUUAAGGGAGUAGAAAGCAAACUGUUAUCUUCGGGGAUGCUCCAUUUUUGAGAACUAAGGUAUUCCGGAGCAGCUGGAGUAGAAGACGAGGUCGCAAAGGAGGACUGGGAAAUAGAAAAUUCCAUAUUUCUGUAUGUGUAAUCAACUCCCAGAGUAGUAGAAGGCGAAUAGAGAAAAUAAGAUGUUUUUCGCUCUUCUUGAUCUCUCAAUUUAUAAUCGCCAUGAAAAUCGAUUUUCGCUAUACUUCGAGAGCUAGCACACUAAUUUGCACGUUGAUUUAGAGUUUUUUUAUUCGCGCUUUUGUUUUUUUUUUGUUUUUUUUUUUUUGUUGAAAAAUCAAACGUACUAGUAAGGGUCCAAGAAAGAAUAAAAAGUGUACCAAACGUGAAAGUUGUGCUAUUCGGCAACUGGAAAGCGGAUUCCUAUUAUUAUGAAACAACUUUUGAUUCCUUAAUACCUAGGUACUUGUCACUAGUGAAUAUUUUAUGUACUCAUUGUAUUUAUUUGGCUUAAUAAAAAAAUAUCGCGUGGGUUUUGUUUUUCAAAAUAAAAUAAAAAUAAUAAUGAACAUGUCAUUAUUUUUUAAUCACUAAAACAGUAUACCCAAGUAUUAUCCAAGCAUGUCUCAAACCCUAUAAGGGCAUCAAUAUUGAUGGAAGCCUUCAAACACAUUUUCCCAUUAUUAGUGACCACAAAUAAAUAAAUGAAUAAUGCUCAGAUCUAGAACCUUUUGGUUCGGCAAACUUGUGCGGAUAUCAACUCUAUCUAUCUUUUCUCUAUGUUUUCAGGUAAAAAAUUUCGAACAAACCAGAAAGCCUUAAUGUCCUUGUGCAACAUUGCGUAGUUUAUUAUAGGGGUAUGAUAUUCACACACCCCAUUUUACUUCUCACAUAUCUUUUUAAUUUUCGGUCGUCGAAUCGGAUGAAUUGAAGAAGAUCAAUAGACAGAAAUUAUCAAGAGGUGUGUGAGAAGUAAAAUAAGGUGUGUGGAUAGCACAUUCCUUAUUAUAUAAUAUAUACUAUUUAGGGAACUCUUUUGGUUGAAUAUAAUUUAGUGAGUUCGACGGAAGCAAGUCAACAACACCUAAUUAUGACCAAACUAUUGUUUAUGACAUUUUUUUGUCACGUGUCAAUUGUCCUCUUGUAAAAAGAGUCUUGAAAGCAUUUUAUAUUUUGCCAAACAAAAAGAUUCAACAAAUAUUAGAUGGCAAGUGAAGUAAUUUUUGUAUACCAUUUUUCUCAUACAUUCUUUAUUUCAGUUUCUUAAAAUAUACAGUGUCUCGUGUUUCAUAUGAGUUCACAUUUGUGUGUGAGACAUUACAUUUUUUUUUCUUUCAUACUUUGUUUUAGUUUUUUAAAACAUACAGUGUCUUGUGUUUCAUAUGAGUUUACAUUUGUGUGUGAGACAUUACAUAUUUUUUAGACGACAUGUUACAUGUGCGAUAUAAUUGAUGUGUCGUGAAUUCAAGGAUAAUUUUUAAUAGAAAUAUUAGGAAAAUCCAAUUUUAGUUUACCACAUUGUCCCACGUCUCUUCAAUAAAAGUGUGAUCUCGUGGUGUACCCUAGCAUAAAUAUUUUCUUUUGGAACAAACGAUAUUGACUACAUUAAGGGGGAGAGGGGGGAGGUGGGCUUAGCCUCACAAUGGACUAGCAAUAAUGUGGUUCAAAUUCUCUUUUGGUGAGAAUCGAACCUAAAAUCUCUCAUUUACAAGUGAAGAGAAAAAUCACUAAAUUGCAGUAUUAAUUGGUUUCCUAGCAUAAAUUGUUAAGCAUUAAUGUAAUGCACAUAAAUAUGGUAUCUCUAGCAUCACUCGAUCUCAUUUUUUAUCCACCAGUCGUAAUAGUAAAUGACAUGAUAUAACUUGUAUAACCCAUAUCCAAUUGUGACCGUGGAUAAUACAAGUUUGGUUGAUAAUACUGAAAUCAAGGUUUUUUUUCCCCAAUGAUUAGGUUAAUAAUGUUGAACAAUGUAAAAAGUCUCAUUUCGAAAACUUGAUAAUUAAAUACAACUUGCAUUGAGGUCUUCAUUGAUAAAAAUUUAGACUUACUAGAUUGCAUAAUAGUUAAGUGAAGAUGUGAAAUCCUGUCCCCAUAUUUCACUAUUUAAAAUUACGUAUUUUGUAUUCUUAGUUUUGACGCGUUUAUAAUUAUGGCAUGUAGUUUUUUUUUUUCAAUAAGUAAAAGGACAAAAAUGCCCUUAAUGAACUAAACGUACCAAUCAAGAUGAGAAUAAAUGAGGGAAAUGAGGGAAAAAAGAAGGAGGGAACCCAGACCCCCUUUCGACCCGCGACCCAACUAUUGACUGCCAACAUGCAAUCCGAUGCCUUCUCCGGCCAUUUUCUGGUGAAUUGCGAUGAGGCAACACUUGAGAACCCAUCCAUGAUCUCUUCUUUUCCAUUUUCACUUGAAAUUGAAGGAAUUUGGCUUCGGUUUCUUCUAAAACAUGCCGACAGGCUCCGUGGGGUGCAUAACAACAAUCUGCCUUUCCUGCAUGAAUCACUGUCAAACACCACCAUCAAUCAACUCCUCUUGGGCCCAGGAACAAACCCCAAAAAAGUUUGGCGGCGGUGGAGCACUGGAGAAGACAAAUCGAAGUGCACCCAUUUCAGGGGUUUCAGGCGGAUAGAGGCGAUUUCAAGCAUCUUCCCGGCCUAAUUGGACUUCAGCCCAGGUAUGAAAAAUGUUUCCCUCAUUGAGCUCUACAUGUUUGUAAAAUUUGGUAAUUUUUGAAGUUAGGUGAAUUUUCCUGCGAGUCAGGGCGGUGGCAUGUGACCUAAGGACCCAUUUGACCCUUUUAAGCUAAAUUUGAUACACCGAUUCCAUAUGUGACAUCUGAUGGACGAAAUUCCAUCGUUCGAACAUAGUUUCGUUAGGGUCCGCCUCUUGAUCAUUAUAACCAUCGAUGAUCCAACCGUUGGAUUGUCACCAAACCUUAAUAUAUUAUAACACGUAAUAUUUAAGGACAUUAGAAACUGACAGAUCAGGAAUCCGACAUACGGAUCUUGAUGAAUUGAAUUUUUAAGUUUGUAAAACUUGUUUGUACCAUACUUAGGGCCUCCGUAUUUAGACCUCGUAUAAAUACUCGGGGGACUCAAAUAUAAUUAUGUAAUAAAUGGAGGGGCAAAUAUGUAAUAAGUGAAGAGCCCUUAUUCUAUAAAAGGACUCCUCACUCUCCUCAUUAAGGGAGGCCAUUUCUUAAGCCUCCUCACAUCCCCUAAGCUCUAAGCUCUCCCAAAGCUCUCACUCUCAUAUUCAGAGCUCUCUUUCCCUCAGAAAUACAAUAUCACUGUGGACGUAGCCCAAACCUUAAGGUGAACCACGAUACAUCUUGUGUUAUUUACUUUCUUGCAGAUUUACGGUCGGAUUUACGUUGUUCCAAGACCUCUCCGGUUUUGUGCAUCAACAUUUGGCGCCGUUUGUGGGAAACGACACAAAAAACUAUGUCGGUUCUCUUUCAUUUUUUCACCUCCACCGUGAAUCUGCAAAAUCUGCAAAAAUCCAACAACCCAAAGCCUUCCAAAAAAAAAACCCAAGGAACCAGUCCACGCUCACUGUCUUCCUUCCUCGUUUCACUUUCUCAAGGCAGGCAAAGUGGGCAACAGCAACCAACAAGUUAAACCAAAAUGACUGAUAUUCCAACGCAGCAGUGGAUAAAAAAAAGGCAUCUGUAAUGAUGGCCGGGAUGAUUAGUGCAGAGGAAGCUACCGUGAACCUCUCAUUACCCGACUGCGGCACCCCCAUUCCUUCCGGCGAUCAAGCCGUCUGGGCCGACGUCUCGCCCCUCCUCGACGCCGCCUGUAAAGAUCUUCAAGAUGGCCAUUUUUUUAGAAGCUUCAAACCAGUUCCCGUUUCAAACCGUGAGGCAAGAGAAACAAGAAAAGCCGAGAUGACGAUUGGAAAAAGGCUGGUUUCGACGGUGGCUCUCUUGUGGGUCAUACUCCUCUUCGGCACUUUGGUCUUCAUCCUGACUCGACUCAGCGACGACAUAGCUCUUAACGAGCCGAAUGUUGUCAAAAGCGAGCUCCGAGAGGAUUUUCGAGCACUUUGCACAUGGGAAAAAUGAACUGGAAUGAGUAGGAAGCAUUUUCACUACAAAGGCAGUACAUUUCAUAGGAUUAUCCCCAGCUUUAUGAUAGAGGGAGGUGAUUUCACUCUCGGUGAUGGACGAGGUGGAGAAUCAAUAUACGGUGAUAAGUUUGCAGAUGAAAACUUCAAAGUACAACACACCGGGCCAGUCUUCACCGUCCCUUCCUCUUCGACAUCACUUAUUGCUUGAAGAAGUUCCAACGGAGUAGCUGCAGGAUCUAACUCCCGACAAGGCGACAACUCUUCUUCCGAAGUAUCUCUUGUCUCUUUGGAUCCAAAUGCGAUCAAAUAUUGUCAUAAAGCUAGCCACUUUCACCAAGGGAGUUACAAGUACACCUUGGUCUUCACUGAAGUCUUUAAUGGCGUCGACCAUAUCAUAUUUGUGUACAAUGUCUUGGAUUGUCAGUUCAUUCCAAUCGAGAGACCAAAUCCUGAACAGUACCCAGACUUCUGCAUUCCCUCGAUGAGAGUAACUUACAUAAACCUUGUACACUAUCUGCCACAUCCACCGGCCCAACAAACUCUCUGCCAUGUCCACAGGGUUAUAGAGUGACAGAACGGACACAGGAUGUUUGGUGUGAAGAUGAGCAACCACAGGGAGUCCACCAUCCCACUAUCUGAAAAAUCACUCAUAAAGAAGAAAAGCAAAAGCACUGACAAAAGCAAUGUUAUUGGCAGAUUUAUAUCAAAAUCCACUGCACCUACGCAGAAAAUGAAAAAGAAAGUGAAAAGAGAAAGCAAAAGCAAGUACAUGUGAGUAUGUCUGGAGGUAGAGAAACAGAGAGGUGCAGUGAAAAUAGAAUAUUUCAAAAGCAAAAAAGAAAAAGAAAAAAAAAGAAAAAGAAAGGCUGCAUGUGAGUAUGUCUGCAGGUGAAAAGAAAAAGCAUGCAUUUAUCCCCCAGCUCAACCACUUCCACAAAAGCAAAAGCAAAGCAGAAAGCAAAAGAAGAUAAAAAGAAGCAGACAUAAUUGCAGUGAUGAUGGCAUUAUGGGCGUGACCCAUUGAGCAAAGGGUCGAAACCUUUGUUUUGAAUGAUGUAAUUUAUUUUUCUUAUCUUUUGGAGACAUCUGUAUAACCCCAUCAGAGGGUAAUCAUAAAAAAUAAAAAAUAAAAAUAAAAUAUAAAAAAAACAGCAAGCCUAAAAUAAUGGGCCGCAAUGUUAUGUGGAGGGCGAAUGCCUAUAUGCCCAAAAGAGCCAGACCCUCUAUUAUCACCAACCAGGUGAUCAAAAGUACGUCCAAUACUACAAAAAAUUAUUCGGCAGCCUGCCGCUAUUACCACCAACUAGGUGAUCAAAAGUACGUCCAGUACUCCAAAAUUAUUCGGCAGCAUGCCGCUAUUAUCACCAACCAAGUGAUCAAAAGUACGCCCAGUACUCCAAAAUUAUUCGGCAGCCUGCCGCUAUUAUCACCAACCAAGUGAUCAAAAGUACGCCUAGUACUCUAAAAUUAUUCGGCAGCCUACCGCUAUUAUCACCAACCAGGUGAUCAAAAGUACGUCCAGUACUCCAAAAUUAUACAUGAGCAUUACUCAUGUCAAUCAUACAUAAACAUUUCAUGAGCAUCAUUCAUGUCAAUCAUACAUAAACAUUCAUGACCAUCAUUCAUGUCAACAUUCAUGAGCAUUACUCAUGUCAACAUUCAUGAGCAUCACUCAUGUCAAUCAACAUAAACAUUCAUGAGCAUUAUUCAUGUCAAUCAGCUUCAAAAGCUUCAUUUAAAGAGCUCUAGCUUCAAAAACUUCAUUUACAGAGCUCUAGCUUUAAAAGCUUCAUUUACAAAAGCUCCAGCUUCGAAAGCUUCAUUUACAGAGCUCUAGCUUCAAAAACUUCAUUUACAAAGUUGUAGCUUCAAAAGCUUCAUUUACAGAGCUCUAGCUUCAAAGCUUCAACUUGCAAAGCUUCACCUACAAAGCUUCAGUGCAUGGUAUACAAAUACCGCUUCCGAACAACCGCCAAAAGACUCUCUUGACCGAAGACUUGAGGGACUACAUUAUGUACCAUAUAUUGGGCCUCAACAGGGCCUCAUGAAAAAUACUUGGGAGACUUAGCCCAUUAUUUAUGUAUUGAGGAGCGAGCCCUUAUUCUAUAAAAGGGACUCCCUCACUUUCAUUAGAGAGCACCCAUUAUUCAUGUACUGAGGAGCGAGCCCUUAUUUUAUAAAAGGGACUCCCUCACCUUCAUUAGAGAGCAUCGCCGCCUGAGCAACCGCCUCGCCGCGAGCAUCACUCAUAACCUAUCACUUAUGUAUUGAGAAGUGAGCCCUUAUUCUAUAAAAGGGACUCCCUCACCAUCAUUAGAGAGCAUUGCCGCCUACUGAGCAACUGCCUUGCCGCAAGCAUUAACUCUAGCCCAUAAUUUAUGUAUUGAGGAGCGAGCCCUUAUUCUAUAAAAAAUACUCAUUCACCUUCAACGCCACAAGCCGAGCCAACCAAGGCAACAUAAACCACAAACAGAGCAGCCUCGCAACAUGUGCUACUUCUAAUUGAACAUCAUUUCAAAUUGGGCAACGCCUCAUAUUGAGUAUCAGUUCUAGACGACAUCUAGUUAUUUUGACCUACACAUGGAUUGAAUUUCAAGUCUCCAACCAAAAAACUCUCUUGACUGAAGACUUGGGGAACUACUGUUUGUACCAUACUUAGGGCCUCCGUAUUUAGACCUCGUAUAAAUACUUGGGGGACUCAAAUGUAAUUAUGUAAUAAAUUGAGGGGCAAAUAUGUAAUAAGUGAAGAGCCAUUAUUCUAUAAAAGGACUCCUCACUCUCCUCAUUAAAGGAGGCCAUUUCUUAAGCCUCCUCACAUCCCCUAAGCUCUAAGCUCUCCCAAAGUUCUCACUUUCAUAUGCAGAGCUCUCUCUCCCUCAUAAAUGCAAUAUCAGUGUGGACGUAGCCCAAACCUUGGGGUGAACCACGAUACAUCUUGUGUUAUUUACUUUCUUGCAGAUUUACGGUUGGAUUUACGUUGUUCCAAGACCCCUCCGGUUUUGUGCAUCAACAAAACUAAUUGUUGACCGCCACCUAAUUCUAACAAUUGGCGGAGAUCCGACCGUUGAAUCGUUCCAAAAUUUUAAGAUAUUGUUCUAGAAGAUAAAUGAGACUUGUUUGUACCAUACUUGACCAAUCCCGAAACUACCGAGCACUGGCCAACGCUAUACUGUCAAGGACCCAGAAGAGUUCCCCUCCGACCAGGAGGCCAAUCACUACUCGACACGUGUCAAGAUUAGAAGCCAAUCAGAGCGCAGCACGUGUCAACAUCAAGAACCAAUCAUAACAUGACACAUGUCAAUGUGACAAAGCUACAAGUUUUUCUAUAAAUAGGGGUCAUUCUCCCACAAUAUUGCCGAAUGCCAUUUGUGUUAAAUCAUUCACAAGAACUCACUAAAUUGAGAGCUUGAUCCUUUGUACUUGUGUAAGCCCUUCACUACUAAUAAGAAUUCCUCUACUCCGUGGACGUAGCCAAUCUGGGUGAACCACGUACAUCCUGUGUUUGCUUCUCUGUCUCUAUUCAUUUACGUACUUAUCCUCACUAGUGACCGAAGCAACCAAGCGAAGGUCACAAAACCUGACACUUUCUGUUGUACCAAAGUCUUCGCUGAUUUUGUGCAUCAACAUUUGGCGCCGUCUGUGGGAAGCGACACUUUUUCCUACUCUCUUCAGCUGUGUCAAGCUGGUUUCUAUCAUUCGUACACUUUCUUUUGAUCAGGCAUCCCUCUCCAACAUGGGAAGCGAAGGAAGCCACAGCACACAGAAUGACACCCCCCUUGCACAUAGUGCGAAACAACGAAAGAAGGAAGGAAAACGAGUUCUUCUUCAAGCUAAAGUCGAUGAUGAGUUGGAAGCUCAGAACAAACAGAUAGCAAUGAGGAAUGAGGUCCUCCAGGAGCAAUAUGAGAAGCUCUUCGAGACACUCCACGAAGCUAGGCAAGCUCAGACACGCGAGAUUGUUGCCCCCGUGGAAGUCAACCAUCAACUGGGUGCCCCUCCAACAUGGAGGGUCACAUGCAUUCGACAUAGAUAUAUCCCUGAUAGGGAACAGAUUACCCCUCGACUUGAUAAUCAACAUGAGGCUUCUCUUAACCCAGUUGCUUCGACCCGAACCAUGAGAAGUGGAGGGAGACACCUCUUUGCUGAAGGGGCAGAAGGAUCGAAAGCCGUUUUUUCGCGAUUGUCGGGAUUUCCUGAAGCAACGUCGAGAGAAUUCCAUCCACAUAAGCUUAAAGAUUAAUGACCCAAGGAUUUCUGAAAGACUCGGUCCCCUGCCACGGCCCAAGCCGGCCACCAAUUUGGGGAAGGGGCAACAAGUCCUAGAGAGACAUGAGGGUACAGGGGACUCAGAGGUGUUCCGACAGACAUACCCUGGAAGCCAGUACAGCGAGUCCAGGGAAAAAUCACAUGCCCUUGAUCAAACCUUCCUAAUUCCAAGAGGAGAUGGAGAUUUACGAAAGAAAGCUCCAGUGACACAUAACUCCGCUCAGGACCCUCUUGUCCUACAACUUCUUGAGGAAGUAAACAAGUUGAAGGCUGAACGUCAGGCUGAAAUACCUGACUGGAACCAACCCAGGCCUGGCCCUCUUACAAGGAGGAUCCUCAACACCCCCUUUCAAGCAAAGACAAAGCAAAAGCUUGGCUUGCAACUUUAUACUGGAAAAGAGGACCCGAUUGAGCACCUUAACCUCUUUGAGUCCACCAUGGCAUACCGGAUGCACACCGACGAAGAGCGAUGUCUUCUCUUCCCCUCCACCCUCUCUAGUGGAGCUCUAAAUUGGUAUUGUCGUCUUACACCUGAGACGGUAGACUCAUUUGAGGAAUUGAGGAAACUAUUUGUUUCCCAACACAUUUUCCAAACCGAUCGCUUGCACUCUGCAGAUGACUUGUACACUAUCCGCCAGAAGCCAGACGAGUCAUUACGUAUGUAUGCUGGCCGCUUCAGCCAUGAAUACUCCCGGUGUGCCGAGGCAGACGACAAGACUGCCCUCAAAGCCUUCACGGCAGGCCUACGUGAUUGUUUCUUUAAAUACAUGAUCAAUGCCAAUACUUGGAAGACUUACUCUGAGGUGAUGGCACAAGCUUAUAACCAUGCCUCCGCCGAGGCAAAGACAUAUCAGGAGAAACCUCCUACAACCAUCCUUUAUCAACAAGUGGGAGAUGGAAGCCAGACUCACCUAAAUGAGAAGACCUCGACUUUCCAAACAGCAGUGGCACCUCCCCAUGCCUUGCAUAAUGCUUCGCCGAAUCAACAGACAUAUCAAUUUCAAGGCAAGAGGAAGGAUUUCCAUCCUCACCACUCUCAUUUCAGUAAAAAGAGUAAGGGACACUAUCCCGAUAACCAAGGGUAUCGCCACAAUAACGCUCGCCCCCAGGCAGUCAAUGCAGUGGGUCAAACCCGCGUCAAGAUACCCCCUACCCCAAGAUAUGAGACAUACACGCCCUUGAAUGCCACAUGCGCGGCCAUUUACCCCAGCAUAGCUCACCUGAUACCAAAGCCAAAGCCGAGGCACCCAGAUUACACGCCCCCGAAUAACGCGGGCAUGUUUUGUUGCUACCAUGAGCAUAACGGCCAUGAUAGCGAGAAAUGUAUCAUCCUCCGUGAUCGUAUUGAAGCUUUGGCACGAGAAGGAAAAAUUGAUCAAUUCCUCCUUCACCCUCAAAGGGAUAACCGUAACCAACGCCAGGUGAAUGUCAUAUAUUCCAUAAGCGGCGGCACACCCAUAUCUGAAUCUUCCAAUAGGGCCAUGAAAAACAGUGAACGAAUUCUGAGGCCUGGUCACCAAGUGUUUCACGUGGAAGACAUCAGGGGAGGGAAGUAUCAAAAGCCUAACUGGGAUCCGAUAUGUUUCUACCCUGAGGAAGAAAGAGGCAUCAUCUACCCUCAUAACGACCCAUUGAUCGUGGAGGCUCACAUAGCCAACUUUGAUGUUCGACGAAUCCUCGUAGACACAGGGGCUUCGGUCAAUAUCAUGUUUGCCGAAGCUUUCAGGGCACUCAGUGUAGCUGAACACGUGCUCGAUCGCUCGAUUUCUCCUCUGAUAAGCUUCUCCGGUGAUAUCGUGCAACCCUUAGGGAGCAUAUAUUUACCCUUUACUAUUGGUACAGGCCCUUACACGGCUACCAUUACCACUAACUUCCUAGUGGUUGACUGCCCAACGGCAUACAAUGUCAUCUUUGGGCGCACAGGCAUCAAUGAUCUCAAGGCUAUGGUAUCCACGCAUAUGCUGUUGAUGAAAUUUCCAACCCCCCAUGGCAACGGCUACAUCAGAUGAGAUCAGCUUAGUGCACGAUCAUGUUACAACACUUCAGUUAAGCAACAACACUUGCCCGGACCCAAGGAAACCCUGUCUGUACAUGACCAAGUCACAAAGACCAGCCUAGAUGAAGCGAACUUGGAUCUUCCUGAUAGCAACAAUCAACCCGAUGAUCCUCGAGAUGACUCUUUCACCCAGCAAGCCCAACCUGCUGAAGAGUUGGAGAAGAUACCUAUCUCAAGAGAUUAUCCAGAUCGCAUGGUGAAGAUUGGCACCACAUUGUCACCACCCCUUCGGUUAGCAUUGAUAUCUUUUUUGAAAGAGAACACUGAAGUUUUCGCCUGGUCAUACGAGGACAUGCCAGGCAUCUCUCCCGAUGUCAUCUGUCAUCGUUUGAGUAUUGACCCCAAGAUCAAGCCGGUGAGACAUAAGCGAAGAUCUUAUGACGCUGAACGAUACGAGGCAAUGAAAGCAGAAGUUGAAAAACUCAAAGGCAUAGGCUUUGUCCGCGAAGUCAAUUACCCGACAUGGGUAGCAAAUGUGGUCCUUGUUAAAAAAUCCGACCAAAGAAAGUCUUUUGCUUCAAAAGGUCUUGUGGAGAAUGUGUGUUGACUACACCGACCUAAACAAAGGGUGUCCGAAAGAUAGUUUCCCUCUUCCUCUUAUUGACAGGCUUAUAGACUCUACGGCAGGGUGUGAGCUCUUGAGCUUUAUGGACGCUUAUUCAGGAUACAACCAAAUCCUCAUGAACCCCUCAGACCAAGAACACACGGCCUUCACUACUGACAGGGGACUAUAUUGCUAUAAAGUCAUGCCUUUCGGCCUAAAGAAUGCAGGAGCAACUUAUCAGAGACUGGUCAAUUCAAUGUUCGCCGAACAAAUUGGGAAGAACAUGGAAGUUUACGUUGAUGAUAUGCUAGUCAAAAGUAAACAUGCUGACCAACACAUCACCGACCUAUCUGAAACUUUCACCAUUCUAAAGAGGUAUCGAAUGAGGUUGAACCCCAACAAAUGUGCCUUCGGCGUGGGCUCUGGCAAAUUCUUAGGCUUCAUGAUUAGCCAACGAGGCAUUGAAGCUAACCCUGAAAAGAUCAAAGCAAUCCUCGACAUGAAAGAGCCAAUAACUUCAAAAGACAUCCAAAGCCUUACUGGCAAGGUGGCAGCCUUAACCAGAUUCAUCUCUAAGGCCACAGACAGAUGUGCUCCUUUCUUCAAAGCACUCAAGGGAAAUAAGAAGUACAUUACAUGGACGGAGGAAUGUGCCAAGGCAUUCAGGAACCUCAAAGAGUACAUGAGUAAAGCCCCUCUGCUCUCCAAACCAGAAGUUGGUGACACUCUCAUCAUCUAUCUAUCGGUUUCGGCUUCAGCAGUCAGUUCUGUUCUUAUUCGAAUGGACAGUGGUGUCGAACGGCCCGUCUACUACGCUAGCAAGGCCCUACAAGAUGCGGAGACACGAUACUCCAACAUUGAGAAAUUAGCUCUAGCAUUGGUCAUGUCUGCUCGGAAACUUCGCCCUUAUUUCCAAGCACACGCCAUCAUCGUGCUUACCAAUCACCCUCUUCGACAGAUACUCCAGAGUCCUGACACGUCUGGGUGAAUGAUCAAAUGGGCGAUAGCAUUGGGUGAGUUUGACAUCUCCUACCAACCAAAACCAGCCGAAAAAGGUCAAGCAGUAGCAGAUUUCAUCGCCGACUUCACAUAUCCUGUUGACAUUGCUUCUACACCUGAAGCAGUAGCUUCAUUACCAUCGGAAGCUCAGAAAGUAGAAUCAACGACCUCAGCAUGGAGUCUGUAUGUUGAUGGCUCAUCCAACCAACAGGGCUGUGGAGCGAGACUAGUCUUGACUACGCCCGACAAAGUAGCAAUGGAGUAUGCUCUUCGUUUCAAAUUCAAGGCAUCAAAUAAUGAGGCCGAGUAUGAAGCCCUUCUAGCAGGAUUACGUUUGGCCAAACACCUCGGGGUUAAACAAAUUGAUAUUUUCAGUGACUCCCAAUUGGUGGUCAACCAGGUUACCAACAACUUUGAUGCUAAGGACAGCUCCAUGGCAGCAUAUCUUGCGCAAACACAACUUUUGCUCAAGCACUUCCACUACCAGAUCACCCAAGUUCCUCGAGCGGCAAACAGUCAUGCAGACGCCCUGGCUCGCCUCGCCUCGGCUGUGGAAGACAAGAUUGGAAGAAAAAUUCAUGUCGAACUGUUGGCAACACCAAGCACCAUGGCCGCAGAAGUAUGCAACUUACAACAGGGGGAUAAUUGGAUCACCCCGAUCUAUAAUUUCCUUGCUCAUGGCACCCUCCCAAAUGAUAAAGUCCAGGCUAAGCAAAUUCGAUACAAGUCUACCCGCUACCUGAUCAUCAAUGAUCAACUCUAUAAGCGAGGUUUUAGCCUGCCAUACUUAAGGUGUCAUACGCCUGCCGAGGCGGAAAUCGUCCUUCGGGAAAUACAUGAGGGAAUAUGUGGAGAUCAUGCUGGAUCUCGGUCCCUAGCACACAAGACUUUUCGCCAAGGAUAUAUUACUGGCCAACACUCCACCAGGGAUGCCAUCAAAGUAUCCCGCUCAUGUGACAAAUGUCAACGAUAUGCAACUAUUCCUCAUUCCCCUCCAGAGCCUCUUACUCCUAUGAUCAGCCCUUGGCCCUUCGCCCAGUGGGGACUUGAUUUGAUCGGCCCAAUGUCGGCAGGGAAGGGCAAAGUCUGUUACGCCGCAGUCGUUGCAGUGGACUACUUCACAAAGUGGGCCGAAGUAGAGAACCCUUGGCAACCAUUACUGAGGCAAAGAUAGAAGACUUCGUGUGGAAGAACAUCCUUUGUAGAUUCGGCAUUCCCAAUGCGAUAGUCACUGACAAUGGGCGACAGUUUGACAACAAGAAGUUCAGGUUGUUCUGCUCUAAGUUCAACAUCAACUUAUGCUUUGCCUCUCCAGCUCAUCCCCAGUCUAAUGGACAAGUUGAGGCCAUCAACAAAAUAAUCAAGCGCACUUUGAAAACCAGCUUGGACAAAGCUAAAGGCUGUUGGCCAGAAUUUGUACCCCAAGUUCUUUGGUCAUAUCGCACUUCAUAUCGGACUUCAACAGGAGAAACUCCAUUCUCACUUGCCUUUGGCACAGAGGCGGUUGUCCCUGUUUGAGCUCGAGCAAGCAACAUUCCGAGUCCAGAACUACAUUCAAAGUGAAAAUGACAAACAACUCACCCUCAACUUGGAUUUAGUCGAGGAACACAGAAACCAAGCUCACUUGAGGAAUGUCGCUUACAAGCAGCGCAUCUCCAACUAUUAUGACUCUAGGGUCAAGCCUCGUUCUUUCAAAAUAGGAGACUGGGUCUUAAAGAAAAGAUUACUCUGCGACAGAGUCCCGAGUGAAGGCACACUUAGUCCAAACUGGGAUGGACCGUAUGAAGUCAUUGGCAUCAGUCGCCCUGGCUCUUACACACUUAGAAGCUCCGAUGGCAAGACCCUUGGCCAUCCAUGGAACGCUGAUCACUUGAAGUACUACUACAAAUAGACUCACGAUGUACAAGUGUUGAGCUAUAGCCGUUCGGCAUCCUAUGUAAUGAAGGCCAUUUGGCAAUGAAUUCAAUAAAGAGGUAAUUUAGCCAACUCAGCCCUCACUCUUUUACAUUCAUAGCAAGCGAUGCCGGAACCCUUCUCAAUCAGAAAGCAAUCCGUCUUCCACAGUCACUACAAAACAAGCAAAUGAAGACCGUGUCAAGCGCCAAAAAAAAAAAAAAAAAAAAAAAAAAAAAACAGCUUCAUCCAAAAAGCUUCACCCGAAAAGCUUCACCUCCAAAGCUUCACCCACAAAGCUUCACCUAAAAAGCUUCACCCAAAAAAGCUUCACCCGAAAAGCUUCACCUCCAAAGCUUCAUCCACAAAGCUUCACCUAAAAAGCUUCACCCACAAAGCUUCACCCAAAAAAAAACUUCACCCGAAAAGCUUCACUUAAAAAAGCUUCACCUACAAAGCUUCACCUAAAAAAGCUUCACCUAGAAAGCUCCCUCUACAUACUUUCACCAUCAAAGCUUCACCAUCAAAGCUUCACCUAGAAAGCUUCAUCUAGAAAGCUUCAUCUACAAAGCUUCAUCUACAAAGCUUCACCAUCAAAGCUUCACCUAGAAAGCUUCAACACAAAACCUUGCUCCAAAUAAACAAAUUUUGUUCACAAAACCCAAGAUGCCCUUGAACUUGUACAAAAACACUUGGGUAAACAUAAACAUUUUUUGUUUUACACCCACAAGGGCCCAAAAUUUUCCUUCUUAUUUAUUCACUUAUAUAUGUUCCCAAACAUAUUAUAAUAGAUCCAACAACAAGCCAAAGUCCCAAGUUUCAUAAUGGACAAAAGUACAAGCAAUUCAUCAAUAAUGAAGGUGCUACAAAAAUUGGAAUCUGCCCCAAAAUAGAAAUCCAACCCAAGAGACUUUUUCUCUCUCUCCCUCUUCCGCCUCCUUUCAUCUAUCAAAUUUCUGCAACCUCUGCUCUUCUCCAAUGGAGCUGAAUUUUAGACACCCUAUAGUUCUUGAGCAUAUGAACAACUUUCAAGAAGGAACCAUUUCUGUUUGAGCGACGGAAAUUACAGUGUUGAAGCUCCAAACAUGAUAGUCGGCUUCUUGCAGAUUUCGAAGCUGUUGUGAUGUUUCGAAGAUCUGGAAAUAUUUAACCGUUAGUUCAUCCUGAAUUUUUGAUAUGUUAUGAAAGAGUCGAUGAGGAACAACUUCAAUGAAGAAAGCAUACCGAUCUGAACAAGAGAAAAUGGAGUUUCGAAGCUCACAACAAAUCUGACGGGUUGACAGAAAAAUAAUAACCAGUCAUUCAUCAUACCUGGAUUUCUGGAGUUAUACUGCUCCGAGGGAUCUCUCAAAUUUGGAUAUGUUGUAGUUCACAAGCUGAGGAACAACUUCAAUGAAGAAAGCAUGCUGAUCUGAGCAAGAGAAAAUAGAGUUUCAAAGCUCACAACAAAUCUGACGGGUUGACAGACAAAUGAUAAACAGUCACUCAUCAUACCUGGAUUUCUGGAGUUAUACUGCUCCGAGGGACCUCAAAUUUGGAUAUGUUGUAGUUCACAAGUUAAGGAACAACUUCGAUGAAGAAAGUAUGUUGAUCUGAACAAGAGAAAAUGGAGUUUCGAAGCUCACAACAAGUCUGACGGAUUAACAGAACAUUGAUGAACAGUUACUCAUCAUACUUGAAUUUCUGAAGUUGUACUACUCCGAUGGAUCUCAAAUUUGGAUAUGUUGUAGUUCACAAGAUAAGGCAAAACUUUCAUGAAGACGACUUUGCAAUCUGAGCUAUAGAGAAAGGUGUUAUCUUGCAUCCACUCAGGCUGAUUAGUGGAAACGAAAAGCAAUUCCACCAAAGAAAAGAUGAAAAAAAGAGAAAAGCUACUAAUUGCACUUGAUCUUGUCUAGUCAAUAGCAUGCAGCAUCAAACACACAAAAGUUAGAAAUAUUUUUAGAUAAAGCAUAUACGAAUGUGUGACAUCGAAACAAGGAUUCGUUACUUUGACAAAUUAGUAACACGCGAGACACCUCAUUCGGCAACUCUCUUCGCCUGAAGACUUGGGGGACUCCCACCAUAUGCUACUGCACCUUGAUACUCGGCAGUCUCACAACCACUCAGUGACUUGGAUUUUCAAGUCUCCAACCGAGAAGUUUUCCUCACUCGGGAAAUUAAGGGAACACUACCUCAAACUACAUGCUUCACUCACAAAGCUUCAACAAUACAGGUUUCAACAAAAGCAAAAAUUCAAAGAACUUUAUGAAGAAAACUUUGGUGUAUUUAACACAAUAUGUUGAAAUGAAGCAAAGCUUAUUUAUUAAUAUUUUCGAUAAGCCACAAAUAUGUACAUAUACAUGAGUCAAAAUAAACAAACAAAAGGGAGCCUUCACAAAGGUUGCUUAGGGGAAGUCUCAGCAGUCGGUAGAGCCCCAGAAAGAGAAAGCACCGGAGGGUGGUUAUCCGGAGCCUCAGUACUUGACAAAACCCCAGAAGGAUGAGGCAUUGGAGGUUCAUCAUUUGAAGCUUCAUUACCAGGUACAGCCCUAGAGGACGAAGGCAAUAAAUGCCUUUGGAACAAACCCACAAACCGCUGAUGAUCAAGUAAAACCUUACCAUCAGAUUCUUUCAUCUGGUCAAGCUUCCUCUUCAUGUUUGUAGCAUAGUCAUGGGCGAGCCGGUGCAACUGCUUAUUCUCAUGCUUGAGCCCUCUAAUCUCCUGUUUGAGACUCAUCACUUCAGCAGCCAAUGAUUCAACUUGGCGGGUUCUAGCAAAUAGGCGUUUGGCCAUAUUAGACACAGAACCUGCACACUGAACACUAAGAGCCAGAGAGUCCUUAACAGCCAACUCAUCAGACCGUUUGGAAAGUAGUCUGUUAUCUUUGGGAGUGAGAAGGUUCCUGGCCACCACUGCAGCGGUCAUAUCAUUCUUCAUCACAGAAUCCCCAACGGUAAGAGGACCAGUAGGGGAUAUGAAGGAUGGGCGCCAUAUGUUGUCUGGAGAAGGCGUGGCUGUCUCUUCUCCAAGGUUCAAGUCAAAACGACGGUCGGAGGGUCCAGACAUUUUCAAAUGUGUUGAAGAAGGAAGAGGUCAGACAAAUCAAGAUCUUAGAAGUGCAAGAAAUGAGCUUCUACUGGUAGAGAUUCAAGUGUGCUGUGGAACUUAAUGCCAGCCUCUAUAAAAAUCUGCACUCGACGGAGCUUCAGAAAUCGAAGAGGCGUUUGCUUUUUCAAAAGUUGGGCUGCUCAGAGACCACGAGGGCCGAUCUCAGAAAUCGAAGAGGCGUUUGCUUUCUCAAAAGCUGGGCUGCUCAGAGACCACGAGGGCCGAUCUCAGAAAUCGAAGAAGCACCUGCCUUUUCAGCCUCGUCAGCACCUGUCACAUGCACAAUCAGCUUUGCGGAAAUUACGGGCACUCUGUCGAAGAUUUCUGGUGAAGUAGAAAGCACGUGAAUCUUACUGUUCAAUCACCGCUCUCCAUAUGCACCAUCAACUCCUCGGGUACCAUAUAUAACUUUGUCAAAGAUCUCUGACAAAGUUUAGGCACAAGAAUUUCGAAGUUCCAGCUACCCUACUAUUACCCAUAAGGGUAAAGGAACAGCACCACUGCUUGACAACUGGAAAGUCCCUAUGUGUGUCGACCUCCGUGUUUUUCGGCAAGACAGGUUGGCAAGAACGUCCAACCUUUACUCACAUUCGAGAAAAGACUCCCAACAUAAUUACUUUCUCAAAAACCGGAGUAGCACCGCUUUCUGAAUCUCGAGAGUCAGAUCCUCGACGGGAUUGCUUGUUCGAAAACCGAAGAGGCACAACUCUCAGAACGUCGAGAGCCAGAUUUCCUUAGAUAAAGUUUGUCUGUAAUCUUCACACGUAACAUCAGCUUUCCAGAUACCACAUACCACUUUUUCAAAGUGCUCUGACAAAAUUAAAACACGUGAAGCUGGCAGCUCCCACUACAUUGCUGUGACCAAGAAGGGUAAAGGAAUAGCAUUACUACUUGUUAUUGGGAAAUCCCUAUAUACAUUGACCUCCCUCCUCAACGGACAGGCAAACCUGCAAAAAUGCUCAACCCUUUCUCGCAUUCGAAAAGGCACCCUCAACAUAACCUCUCGAAAUACUCAGCUUUAUUUCCCCCCGAUAAUACCUCAGCAAAUAAGCCACACCAAGAACAAGAGUAUCUCAUAUCAUCAGGGUCGAAAGCAAGAGUAUCCCAUAUCAUGCUUUCUCCAUGUCUUUGUCUUUGUCCUUGUCCACACCUGCAGGACAAGGAGAAAGAGAGCAGUCAGUCGGAACCUGAAAUCAAACCUCCAAUUUGGAACUGACUGCCUGGAGCCUUUGCCUGGUUGCUUACUUAGCAUUGCUCUCGAGUACUCAUCCUCAACUGCUGUCAAGGUCACGAAUUCCACCGGCAAAUGCCUCAUGACAGUUGAUCAGAUAUUGGCUCUUUACACUGAAGCUGCCAAGCGUGGAUGAGUCACUAUGAAGGAAUGUUCUGAAGGACCAUUUAAAUGCAUAGGUUGCACACCACUUCUGCCAUGCAAAAGAUUGAAGCAGAAGGUUCAACGGUGAGCUGAAACAGAUCACUACAGCACGACACCUUUCCAUACCACAUUCAUUAUUCCGUCAACAGCAAAAGUAUCCCAUAUCAUCAAUGUCGAACGUACUCUAGAUUUGAUGGACUUGUUUUGACCCUCAAAUUUUUGAGUCGGCCUUAUACUCUGAAGGGCACCAGAAAACCCUCCAGCACAGUUCAAGAAUAAGCCUGUGGAAAGUUACUUCUUCAAAAGCAAAAGUAUCUCAUAUCAUCUCUUAUCCAUUUGCUUCUCCUUAUCCUGGCAGUUGAAUGAGAGACAAGGAGAAGGAGAACAAUCAACCGGAAGCCGAAGUCAAACCUCUGAUCCUGGGUUGCUUACUUGGAAGUUUGACUGCUUACCUUGUCUGUCACCUCUUUCGGCAGAUCUCCUAGCUCGGCGACUUGGGGGACUCCUACUAUAGGGUUUGUAUCACACUUGACUAAGCCCGAAACUACAACUAAGCUUCAAGUGAAAUUGAUACAUUACCUUGUGCGUCAACAUCAGCUAAAUACACCAUUCCCGGAUGGAGGAAAGGUACUUCCAGAGAAGGGCAGAUGAAGAUCAGACCACACUUCGGUACUUAGAAGUUUCGUGAUUACUCAAGGGAUUGGAUCUUGCAAGUCCCCAACCGAGGAGUUUCCCUCACUCGGGAAUUUAGGGGAGCACUGUUUGUACCAUACUUGACCAAUCCCGAAACUACCGAGCACCGGCCAACGCUGUACUGUCAAGGACCCAGAAGAGUUCCCCUCCGACCAGGAGGCCAAUCACUACUCGACACGUGUCAAGAUUAGAAGCCAAUCAGAGCGCAGCACGUGUCAACAUCAAGAACCAAUCAUAACAUGACACAUGUCAAUGUGACAAAGCUACAAGUUUUUCUAUAAAUAGGGGUCAUUCCCCCACAAUAUUGCCGAAUGCCAUUUGUGUUAAAUCAUUCACAAGAACUCACUAAAUUGAGAGCUUGAUCCUUUGUACUUGUGUAAGCCCUUCACUACUAAUAAGAACUCCUCUACUCCGUGGACGUAGCCAAUCUGGGUGAACCACGUACAUCCUGUGUUUGCUUCUCUGUCUCUAUUCAUUUACGUACUUAUCCUCACUAGUGACCGAAGCAACCAAGCGAAGGUCACAAAACCUGAUACUUUCUGUUGUACCAAAGUCUUCACUGAUUUUGUGCAUCAACAAGACUCUUUAGAAAUUACAGAUCGAAAAUCUGUGAGUGGAUAUUUCGGAUCGAAUUACGUAGGGUUGUGGACCCCAUCAUUGACUGAGAGUUGACUUUGGGUCAACAUGUCUCGAAUCAUUUUAAAUACUAAAAUUAGUACUAUUAGAGACUAAGUGAAGUCUAGUGGGCUUACAUUGGUUAGUGAGUGACUUUAAUAAAUGUGAUAUGGUUAUUACCUUGGUUUCGUAUUUAAUAUCCUUUGUGGAUAUAACUUGGUUUAUUAAAUGUGAUUUCUAUUAAAAUGUUUUUUAAUAUUUGGCCAUCGAUCUAUUGUUAUGAAAUGUAAUUCGUGGAUUGUAAAUAUUUGUGAAAUGUGAUUUGAAAUACAUGUUGAAUUGUUUGUGAAAUGCGAGGGUUAGUAAUGGAUCAUUAACCCAUUGUCAUAGGGAUUUGUUUGCUUCGAUAUUGUUUUAUUUCUCGCUUCGUUGACCCAUUCUAAAUUUAGUACUUGUGCUUUGUUUCAUUUCGUUAAGCCUUUGUAAAUUGAGCAAAUUGAUUCAUGUUUUGUUUCUUCGAGCCGUUGUUAUGUUUCUUGGACUUCCGCUUGGUUCCGUUGAGUGGUCUAGAAUUGGGUUUCACUGGGGUUCUGUUGAGUGGUCUGGUUCCUUGCUCCGUUUGGAUUUCGUUGAGUGGUCUGGAAUCCCUCGUGCUCCGCGAUUCCGUUGAGUGGUUCGGAAUCGUAUCCUGCUUUGGAUUUCGUUGAGUGGUCUGAUAUCCAUUGUACUCCACAAUUUCGCUGAGUGAUUCGAAAUCAUAUCCACUCGUAUUCCGUUAUGAGGUUCGGAAUCACUUCUACUCCGAAAUUCCAUUGAGUGGUCCGGAAUCGUAUCUUGGUUUGGACUCCUUAAAGUGGUCCGGAAUCCCGGUUGGUAUUUUGGUACCAUUGAGUGGUCCGAAACCUGAUGUUGUUGGAUUUCGUUGAGUGGUCUGAAAUUACAUUCUUCAGAGAUGUAGGCUUGGACCGAUCUAUAUCACUCUAGCCCUCAUUUUGGUGUAUUGGAUGAGUUAAAUUGACGUGAUUGUGGAAUGAUAUUGGAAGGCAUAUGUGUGUGUGAAUGGCAAGAUGACAACUCUUGUUUGGCUUAUGGUUGAUGUGUAGUGUGGUACCUUAUGUUUUCUGCUAGGAAGUGUUUUAUGAAAAGUUCAGAGUUUAACAAAUGGUGAACUACGAAUGGCUUGAUCCCGUCGGAGGGUACUUAGGCAGUCUAACAAAAAGGUUAGAUGCAGUCAUAGAGUAAACGAAAAAUCACUACACAAUUCGAAGUUUGAGUUGUGCUUUGUUUGUACCCCAAAGGCGAGGUAUGUUAAAUAUAUGGGUACUUUGUGACGUCACAUGUCGAUCCUGGACGUACGUCGGGAUCAAGGUGUGACAGAAGACAAUAUCAAUAAUAGUUCACUUAUGUCAUAGGAGUAAUCUUAUACUUGUGUCACAUGGUCAGUGUUAAGUGGACAUGACAAAAAUCAUGUAAAGUGUAACAAAAAUUAAAUUUCGAGUUAAAUGGAAAAAUUUGACACUGAAGAAAAAAAUAUAUUAAAAUCAAAUUUAAGGAGGCAUAGAAACAAUAUGAAUGUUUUAAUAUCCUGUAAAACUCAGUCAAUACAGUUACACCAUCAUUUAUCAUUUUUCUUUUUUCUUCGUUCCGUAACUUCAUUUCUACUGAGAAAAUGCUCCAUUUUCAUGGCUCUUUUUUAUCCUUUCUUUGUGUACUCUCCCUUACGUUUUAUCUAGUUAAAAGAGAUUAUUAAAGAUGGAAGAUCAUUAGCACUUUAGUUAGCAAGUUAUCAAGGGUGUUUGUUCAUUAGCGGAUUCCCCUUGUGUUCAUUAGCAGAAAGGAUAAUAUAUAAGAUGAAUAAUAUAUGAAAGUAUAUAUACAUCAUGGAGGAAUACUGAGAGUCAAAUUGGAUAUAGAAGAUGAUAAAUUAAGUGAGUUGAACUACACAUAAAUGCAUGAUCAUUGAAUUACAUUUGUAGUCUUACUCUCCUCCGCUAAAGCGAGUAAAAUGAAAUUUCCUAAUAGUUUACUUUAAAGUACUAAAGUUCUUGAGCAGCAGCAUAUAAACUGUUUAAUUCGUGACCUUCAUGAAAAAGGAAACGAAGGGUGCAAAGAAAUAUCGUGAUCAAAUAUAUACCAUAAACGGAUCUCGCAAGGUUGUUCUCUACAUGGAUUAUUAAAUAUUUCGAAACAAACCAAAUUCCAAUUAAUUAUUGUAAAGUAGAAAUUGAGAUGAUUGAUUUCAUAAACUACUUAAAUUAAAAACGAAUUAAAUUAAUACAAGUAAACUAAUCUGCAAUAUUAAAGAUGAAAGAAAAGGAACCAGUUUUGGAGAAAUCAAAUUAAGAAAGCACUAGGGUUCUACCAUCACCUAGCAAUCCUAUAAACUUUUAUCAAUUACUUAUGAUCUACACAUGCCAUUUUGAAGGUUAGAUUUUCCUAAUUCAUAUUCUACUUGGAACCUCCAACAUAGAACGUAUAUCUAACAUGCAACCUGUUCGGACGUUCGGAUCAAAUAUGAACAUGAAAGAUUCAUUAUGCUUUAUGAAAACCCUUUGAAAAACCAAGCAACCCUUAAGACGUGGUAUUCAUCCUAAGUGAAAUUACAAUUAUUAAUCACAAGAAGCCAUCGUCAAUUUCAGGGAACCUUCCGACCAAAAUUGCAUCAAAUUACUUUUCUAAAUAUCCUAAUGGUGAUCAAGCAUUAAGACAAUUAGAUAGUUUUAAUCAUGGUGAUUAAUAAUUCAAAGUGUGCAUGCAAUCAAUCAUAAGCAAUUAAAUAAAAAUCACAUAUUCAUACUAAGGCUCAAGGCUUCGCCCUAGCAAAAGGAAUUAGUUACGCAUAUUCAUAAUUAAAAUCAUAGAAAAUAUUAUUAAGAAAAUGAUUGAUAACACCUUAAAGUAGAAAAUCUCCAAGAACCCUAGCAAAGUUCUUUGUCUCUGAAAAACUGUAGACGGCAAAGCAAUAUAUCUGCUAAGCCAUCCACAAACCCUAAAACAUAGGUCUCUUAUUCCAAUUAGGAAACUAAGAAAAAUAAUAAAAUAUCUUAGAAAAUAAAACCCUAAUUAAACUAGGAGAAUCUACCAAGUACUUGUCUAACCACGUUUUAGCCUCAUAUCUCCUCCAAAUCCAGCUCAAGAUAGCUUCUUUUAAAGAUCAAGACGUUCUGAACACAUUUCUAGAAGGCCAUGAAACCAUCCGAGGUCAUCUUGAGCUCAAAAAACGCAAUUUAAGCCAGAAACGUCAUUUUCAAGCACCGCGCAUCGCUCCUUUAUUUUAUCACCAGAAAAUAACCGCUUGGUGGGAAAAUCCCAAAUUUUGAUAUGAUCAAGCUAAGUGACUCACGAACGUCCUCCAACUGGAAUUGCUCCAAAAUUCGUCCAUUUGACCACGUUUUGCUUCAGAGGAAAUCAAAAGUCCUAUAUUAGAAAUACAAUUCAAAAUAUCAAAAUUCUUCCAAAAUAUUAACCAAAAUAUACUAAGAAUAUGGUUAAAUUUAUAAUAUAAAAUCUACACAUCAGUUACUACCAAACCUAGAUUUGGAACUUUCACUACAAGAAAAAUGGACAAGGAACACAAUUGAUUUGUUGUUGUAAUAUAAUAUAUGGAUGGUCGACAUAAAUAGUUCGCUACUAUUCAUCCAAAGAAAAAUCAGAUGAAUUAUUAUUCAUAUCAAGAAAAACAUAUGAGUUACUAUUCAUGCAUAGUAUUUCACUAUUUAUUUGGCGAAAGUUUGUAAAGUGAAUACGAAAGUUAUUAUCCAAAGAAUAGUGUUAUAGUAAUUUUUUGCCUAUAAGAUAAGAGCAAACGAAGGAAGGAAGAAGUGAGGAGAAGAAGAAAGAGAUGAGAGAAAAACAUACAAAGGAAAGAAAGAGGAGUUAUGGAGAAAAAUAAAGAGAAGAUGACAGAAGAGGGAUGUGGAAGAAAUUACUAGUGAGUCAGGCUAGGUAGAAAAGAGAAAAUAGUGAGAGUUAUUUUGUACUCCUAUUAUUUCAGAUAAUGAAAUAAAAUAUUAUUGCUGCCCCAAGAACUUAGGCAAACUUGCUGAAUCUCGUAAAUAUUAUGUCUUAUUUACUUUAUUCCACUAUACACUGUCAAUUUUACAACAUUUAUAUCCUUUUUUUAAAUUUUAUUGAACAUUAUACUAUCUCAAAUGUGCCCCCCUGAACAAAAAGUACAUUAGUUAGUGCCCAAAAAGAAAAAAAUGAUGUAUUUGUGCCAACUAAAAUUUGAGCACGGUAGUUCGCGCCGAUAUUUAAGGCACAAAUAUGCUGUCAAUAGUGCCCUAAUCUUUGCGAACAAAAUGCCAUAGUGUAUCUUAUGACCAAAAAGCACGUUUAUAAAGAGCACAUAAAACAUUUUAAUUGCUACAUUAUUGCUAUUGACAUAAGGGCACAUAUGUUAGUGUCCUUAAGCCUCAUGGCACAAAUAACUUUUUGUGCUGACAUGUAUUUUUGUAGUGUUUGAAUAUUUAGUACUGUUGGGAAUGACACAUCAUAUUCGUAUAUUUGUGAUCUUCAGAUAUUAUCACGAUGAAUGUGUACGAGACUCACGUGGAGCAUAAUUCUAUGUGGCCACUUAGCCCCACUUUCCACACAGCCGGAAAAUCGGCAAGACUUUCAACAAAAAUGAGGGGACAGUACAACUUCUGUAACUUUCAUUGUGUGUUUUUGUUUUUUUAAUUGAAUGGUUAUGGACUACUUAUCGUACGAAGAACAACAAACCUAAGCCUACUUUCUCACGUCACAUUAUAUGGUGUACUAAUAUACUAUAACCAUGGAAGAAAAUAUCUAAAAUAUCGCCGAUUUUUUUUUAGUUAUCGAUAUUUUAAUGAGUAUUCAAUGAAUUUUCGUCAUAAUAUCGCGAUAUUAGCUAUAAUAUCGUGAUAUUAGUCCAAAAAUUCCUGAAAAUUUUGAAAAGUCUCAAUUUUGAGCAUAGAGGGGUUCGAACCCCUCCCACUUAACUCCUUAACGCCUUAACCACUAUACCACUUAUGUUGUUGUGAUAAUAUGCUACAAUAUUUAUAUAUAUUCUUUUGUUUUGAAUUCUUUUUACAAGAAACAAAUUUGCACAUUUUCCAAAUUUUUUGUGGUAUUAUAUUUUAAAUUGUGUCAAUUAAUUACUUAGUCAAUGGCAUGUGGUUUUUAAUUUUUCUAUUUUUUAUUUGGUCACUUACAUGGUAGGGCUGGAAAAAAUUCCAGAAAAUCUCAAACCAAACCGAAAAAGUCUCAAACCCAAACUGAAAAAUCCCAAACCAAAACCAUCCUGAAGUUCGGGAAUCCCAUCUCGAAAAAUACCGAAAUUUUCGAUAUGGGAUUGGUUUCCAAAUCCCAUUUGUUUGGUAAUCCCAAAAAAUACCAAAGUAUUCGGUUUCCUAUUGACUUUUGGGUUUUGGUUCUUGAAAACCAUUGUCAUGGUUGCUAACUACUCUUCAAAAUACACUCACUCUAUACAUAGAGAUGAUGAAGAUAGUGAAAAUUUUGAACCUCAUAGGAACUCUAUGUGGUACUAAGUCACUCAUGUAUCUUACCAUACAAUGUAUAAAGUGUAAAAUAUUGUACUAAUUCAUUAUAUAUAAAUGAUUAUGGUGUGUUUAGACUUCUUUCAUUAAUUUCUACAUAUUUUCUACACUCACAAUGUUUGUCAGCUCGCUAUAUAAUCAACUUGAUAAUGUUAAAUCCAUCAUGCAAUGCAUUUCCUUCCAAUUUUUUGUGAUAAACUAAUAGAUAAUUGACUAAAUAAACAUCCUGCAAAGUUUCAAUAAAAAUUUCCAAGUUUUUCUUACAAUUUCCGUGGUUUCCAUGUAAUUUUUAUCGAUAUCGAUAUUAUCCCGAUAUUUCCAUCGUUAUUUCCGUGUUUUCGGACUACCGAUAUUUCCGAUAUUACCGAUAUUUUCUUCCUUGACUAUAACAAACAAAUAAUUUAUGUAUGUACAAUUCUCAAUUCAAUGAAUCAAGUAAUUAAUGGUCCAUCAUAAAAAAUAAAAUAAAAAAAGAAGGAUAAUACUAGGAAGAUUAAAAUUUUAAAUUAAAUUUACAAAUCAAAUAAUAUGUCAUAAAUAAGAAAUAAGCAAGUUAAAUGACACUUAGCAAUAAUCCAAUAAUAAACUUUCACAUAAUUUGAUUUACAAAAUUUAGUUUAAAAUUUUGAUCUCACUAGCAUUAAUAAAUAUAUAUAAAUUUUCAGAAAAAUACUAAAAGUUGGGGUCAUUGCAUGAUCGAGCCGGUUAAUUGUACGUUGAGAGUUUGAAUUUUAUUCAUUAUCAAUUUGCUUUUUCAUCGACAAAUCACAUUCUAACAUGAUAAUGACUAGGGUCAAAUCAUGGCCAUUCAACAUGUCACAUCCCGACCCAGGGCGGAUCACUUCACGGACCCGUUCCACCAUCGUAGCACGAUAUUGUCCGCUUUGGGCUUACCAUUCCUUCACUGUUUUGUUUUUUAGGAACUCACGAGCAACUUCCCAAUGGGUCACCCAUCCUGGGAGUGCUCUGGCCUCAUUCUCGCUUAACUUCGGAGUUCCUACGGAACCUGAAGCCAGUGAGCUCCUAAAAGGCCUCGUGCUAGGUAGGGAUGAGAAUAUACAUUUAAGGAUCAUUCCCCUGGGCGAUGUGGGAUGUUACAAUCCACCCAUCUUAGGGGCCAGACGUCCUCGUCGGCACACUUCCGACCAAGGAUUGGCUCUGAUACCAUUUGUCACAUCCCGUCCCGAGACGGAUCACUUCCCGGGCUCGUUCCACCACCGUAGCACGAUAUUGUCGCUUUAGGCUUACCAUUCCCUCACGGUUUUGUUUUUGGGAACUCACGAGCAACUUCCCAGUGGGUCACCCAUCCUGGGAGUGCUCUUGCCUCAUUCUCGUUUAACUUCGGAGUUCCUACGAAACCUGAAGCCAGUGAGCUCCCAAAAGGCCUUUUGUUAGGUAGAGAUGAUAAUAUACAUUUAAGGAUCACUCCCAUGGGCGAUAUGGGAUGUUACACAACAACUAAGAUAUUUUCGGAUCGAAUAGGGAUCCUCUUUGGAUGUUUUUUGUGAGAAUUUCAGAAAUCUUUCAAUUAUAUCUGUUCAUCAUAAUUUGUGCGGUCAGUUUUCGUCAGGUAUUGUUUAUAUUUAAUUUUAAAUAAAAAAAUUUACAAUAAUUUCUAACUGCAAGAUGUAUAAUGAACGAAUAUAAUUAAAAGAUCGGUAGAAUCCUCACAAAGAGAAUCCGAAGAAGUUGCUCAUUCUUUCGGAAUGGUGAAAAAAUGAGGAUACUUUAUGGGUGUGUUUGUUGCACCGGACUAGCUCAGACUGGACUAGCUUCAAGAACUAAGCUGAACUAUCUUUGUGAAGCGUUUGAUGUAGUGUCGGACUAAAAAGCAGGAUAAUGAAAAUAAUAAUUAUUAAUUUUUUUUUUCAUUUUCAUUUUCUGUUUCUUGUUCUAGAACACUCUCCCUGGACUAAGAAACCUCUCCCUUCCCUCAGCCUUUUUUUCGUCCAAAUUCCACAACUCUGGACUAAGAAUCUAUCUUCUCUCUCCUUUUUUCGUCCAAAUUCUACAACUUUCUCCCUCCAUUCCAAUCAAUAAAGCUUCCAAAUCACAAAGCGCAACACAAUCACGAAAUUUAAUUGAAAUCGAAAUCGAAAUCGCAGCUGAAUCUCCUGUAUUCACAAAGGUGACGCUCUGAUUCUAAUCCCCACUCAAGUCUAGGUCGCGAACCAAGACCGAUUAAACAAGAAUCUCAUCUCCUCGAGCUUGGAAAUUACUAGGUCAGGUCAGUUUGUGCUUGGUCUGGUGGUGUGAUUUCACAGGAUAGAGGAUAGAAGAGAAGACACGAGGGAAGAGGGAAAGGACGCGAUUUUGGGACGCGAGCAUCCAUGGGAGAAUGAGAGAAGUAGAUAGAGGAGGUGAGAGCAGAGUAAGGCGUCUUAGCUAGUCCCAUGGUUUUGGAGGGGACACACUUAGACUAGCUAGCCCCGUUGUUAGUUGAGGCAAGUCCUCGCUAGUACCACUAAUGUCAUCCCAAGAGCAAACAAACACGGAUUGUAUAUCUUUAAUCAAAUCCAAUCAAAUCCAAUCCAGUGAGAGCUAAAGAAGGCAAACAAAUGCCCCCUAUUUUCUUGAUCUUACCUUUUCUCUCUUCCGGUCCGGAUCUAGUAGCAAUUUGCAUGCCUUGUACUUAUGUGCUGGUUUUUUUUUUCCUUCUUUAUUCAACUAAUCAAUUAUUAUUGCGAAUUUUAACGAAAAGCUUUCAGUAUUGUUCACUUUAAUGAAAAACCAAAAUUUUAUACUAAAAAAUCAAUUCUUAUACUAUUCAUUUUAUCUUUUAUUUUGUUUUUAUCGUUAAAACUUAAGAUUUUCAAACAUUUUUAUUAGUUUUCCUAUUAUUAUCUCUUCCCCUCCCCCUCUUUCUAUAUUUACACCCCCAAUUAAAAGUAAAAGAGAGCAAAGUUAUUUCCACACCAUUAUUCCUAAAUAGCCUCAACAGUCCAAUAUUGUUUUUAUCUUGAAUCCACCCAGUAAUCCCUUCGUUAAACUCAAUAUUGAAGAAUUUAUUGGUAAGUUCAUCGCUUCUCAAUUUCGCAACCUUUUGAAUCAAUAAACUAAGCCUUCAAGCAUCUAAUUAAAACAAACAAACAAAACCAGAUACAAUUAAUCUUUUGCUCUUUGAAGACCAACUUUAGUAAGCUUUUUUAUGGUUUAUUAAACUCUUAUCUAAUUUUGUCGACCAAAUCACAAAACCCAUCUAAAGAGUACCUAAAUUGGUAUCCGUGCUAUUGCCGACAAACCCAAAGUUUUAAUUUGUUACACGUUUCUCACUAUUUGCGUUUAUAUCAUGAAUCCCUUCUUAAAUUCAAGAAUUGUAUAAUAUCUUUGCUCAAUCGAAUUUCUCUUUAAUAUUAAUUGUGAUGUGAGUUGCAAACACCUAAAUGAAGCAGCAACUUAAAUCCUAGAUCUUUUGCUUGAUUUUGAGUUGGGUUGUGAGAACCGGUGGUGCAUCGGAGAGAGAGAGACGCAGAGCUGCCUACGUCACUCUAGUCCCCAAAAAAGCUCUUUCUUUAUAUUUUAUUAUGUCUCCUAUAAAAUUUUGCCAUAAGGUAAACUUGUUAUUGUUAUUAAAACGUGUGUGGAAUAAUAGACAAUGAGUGGGGCGGAACUGAGAUCCUUGCAAGAUGUCUUUUCUGCGGGUUUGACGGACCCUUAAAUCCUAGUCGAUCACGCAAAUCAAACGGCCAUAAAUAAAUCACGAAAACGACGCAGCACCACCCUUUUCUUCUAUUCACUUAUGUUCUCUCGUCUUUUUCUUUUUUUUUGGCCGGGGCGACCGCCGGGGGUGGGGGGGGGUGGGAAUAGUAUGCUCUCUUUCUAUCUUUGUUCACUGCCUCCAUCUCCAACCUUCUUCCUGGAUUUUGUUAUCAUUAAUUCCAUGGAGUUCUUAAUAGGAAAAAAAAAAUGCAAAAAUAGUUCUUGGGGCUUUUUAAAAAAAAAAAUUCAGAACCUAGACAUGAAGAGAGGCAGGGAAAAAUUCUAAAAGCAUAGCGGUGGCAAAUUGCAAUCAAAGGGAAAAAAAUAAUAAAGAGAACAAAAAGAAAACAGUGAGUUAUGAGUCUUGAUUACUAAUAUCCAUGGCGAUGGUGCUACGAAUAGAGAGAAAGUGAGGAUAAAACGGAACGGAACGGAAGGAAGAAACUAGAAAGGGGUGUGGCUAUUAAUUACAUUAGGAAAGAAUCAAAGAGCAAUAAGGAUUGUAGGAAAAUGAAGAACUUGAGAGAGAAAUAAUUGAGAGAGAGAGAGAGAGAGAGAGAAAGAGAGAGAGUAAACUGUAUGAAGUGUAUUUCAGACUUGAUGAAAUGGAUUCUCACAAUUACAGAGCUUUUGUACACACAUAUAUCUAGCUUAAAACUUCAUUCUUACACUUCUAUAAGACUAACUAAUCUUUUUAAUAGACAUGAUAGCCUCAUUAACUAACUAAUGUUAAGCUGCCAUUUAUUAACACUCAUCAGAGGCAACAUUGUUUCGUGCAAAAAAAAAAAAAAAAAUAUAUAUAUAUAUAUAUAUAUAUAUUUCUAGUCGUUUGAUUUGUGUGAACGACUAAGAUUUAAGGAUCUGUCGGAUCCGCAUAAUUAAAGAGACAUGGAGAUGAUCUGAGUCCGGGGUGGGCAUAAUUAUGAUUAUUUUAUUUAUAAAAAAAAUUCAGAUAAUUUGACUACAUUUGAACUUUCCAAGUCAUCCCCCAGCCGUAGAAUGGUUGCCGCCAAAAUAUUUCGCCUAAGGUAGUGUUGCACAUGUUGAAUGUUUGUUGGAUAGAAAAUAAUACCUCUAGAAUUUCAUACAAUUUUUUUUUGUUGAAUGAACGAUGUUAUCUACUCUAAGGAGAGGAGAUAGGCUUAUUUACGAAAUUGCCACCCCUUCAACCGUGCACGUGUCGACCAUGUAAAAAGGGUGGGGAUGGAAACGCACUACGUUUUUGUUUGCUUCCUGAAACCCGAAGCUCUGAUUGCAUCCUUAGGAGAGUUGGGGAACGAGUGUCCAUUGCAGAGAGAUGGUACUAGCUGAACAGAGUUUCUCUCUGCAACUCCUCUCCCAUAGACCUGAACCUUAACUAUGGAAACUCGCUUCUCUGUCUCAGAUGCUUCUCUUCUUCUCCCCAUUUAAAACCUUAUCUCUAUUUCUCCUCUUCUUCUUCCUUGCUCUUCGAAAGAUCCCAUCUUCUGGGUUUAAUCCCCAUUUCUCUCUCAUCCCUAACGUGUGCAUGUCAGAUAUCCAUCCCAAAUCUUGGCCCAAUAACACUUCAGAGGUAAAGUUCAACCUUCGUCCCGUUUAGUUCUUGUCCAAAAUGCAGAUUAGAUAAAGAUGAAUAAGAAAUGUCUCAUAUAAUUCUAUUCUCUAUGUAAGGUACCUCGAUUGACAACGAUGAUAUCGAAGAGCGACUCAAGCUGAAAAAUGGACAAGGAUUGUCUGCUCUCCACUUCCGGUGCCCUCUCCGUGCCCUCCUAUUUUGUGUGAUCACGGUUAAGCCAUGUCAACAUUUUAUAUUGUUUUUAAUAGAUAUAAUAAGACAAAAAUGAAUAGUAAUAUAAAAUGUUGACGUGGCUUAACCGUGACCACACAAACAAGAGGGCACGGGGAGGGCACUGGAAGUGGAGGGCAGACAAUCUUUGUCCCUGAAAAAUUGUGCGGAUACCAUGGUCCGAAAUGCCGAUAAUAUCAGCGAUAUAUCGUCGAUAUUAUCUGUUUUUAGGGGAACCGAAAUCUUUUUCACUAUCCAAAUGGUUUUCGGGAUAAUAUCGGAAUGGGAAUACUCGGAGAAGAACGCCGAAGCUGUAGAAGCUCCGGCCGACUGUAAAACAGGACCCUAGACUCCGAUCUAGGUAUGAAAAUGAAAUAGAAGACGAGAUGAACAUUUUUAUAUAUGAAGUUUGCCGUGAAACGGUCGGAGGUGUUCGGAAAGUGAGUCGACACCCACGGCCUCGCCGGAGUUCGCCGAGUUGCAGAGACGAGAAGGAGAGGGAGAAAGACGAGGUUGCUGAUGAUGAUAUGUGUGCGUGUGUGUGUGUAUGUGGGUCUCGGACCCUUGGUGCAGAGAGAAAGGAGAGAGACGGCAGCGACGAGGAAGAAGCAGAAGUCGAUCUGCCGAUGUGGGUCUCUGUGCAUGUGUGUGGGAGAAGGAUCGAGAGACCUUGGGUCUCUGUGCAUGUAUGUGUGUGUGGGAGAAGGAUCGAGAGACGUGGGAGAUCUGUGCUUGUUGUGGGAGAAUGGAGAAGGGGGAGAAGGGAGCUCAGAGUCAGAGAAGAGAUAAGGUUCGAGAGUCUGAGAGAGAGACUGUAUGAGUGUGAGGUGAGUGUGCGUGUGUGGUGUCAUGUCUGUGUGUGUGUGUGGUUGGGUCAUCUCAUCUGAGAUCUGACUCACGCAGCCUGACUGAUUUCACAAUAUGUCAAUAACUUUCUGCAAUUUCAGACCAUGGACAUCAAAUAAUAGUGCUUUUAUAAUGAAACCGUGUGCCACUGUGAGUCCGUGAUAUUCUUUCACAUGCAGAACAGUGUGCCAUUGUCUAUUAUAUUCUUUCACCUUAUCAAAGGUGGAGUAUCGGAGGAAUUCAAAGCAUUUUCGUUUCUUCUUCUUCCCUUACCAUUUUCAAAGCCAUUCCAGAUCCAUUCCAAAGCUUGAACACAAAGGGUUCCAUAUUUAAGGUAAGUUUUACAAACUUAUAUUUAUAUUAUUGUAAUUUAUACAACAACAAAUAAAUUUGUGUGGACUCAUAUGUUAAUUUUUUAAAGUAAUUAAUACUUGCAUGUUACUUUUUGUAAGUAAUUAAGUAAUGUUAACAAUUACAUGUUAAUUUUUUUAAGUAAUUAAGUAAUGUUGUAUAAUUAUUCCCUAGGAUAAUUUUAACAUGUUUAAUGUUAUUUAUUAUUUUAUUAAUAUUAGGUUUUAUUAUCAAAUUGGAUUAUUAUUGAUUAAUAUUAGGGUUUUUUUUAUUAUCAAAUUGGAUUAUUAUUCAUUAAUAUUAGGUUUUAUUAUCAAAUUGGAUUAUUCUUCAUUAAAUUGGAUUAUUCAUUAAUUUGGAUUAUUAUCAAAUUGGAUUAUUCAUUAAAUUGGAUUAUUAUUAAAUUGGAUUAUUAUCAAAUUGGAUUAUUAUUCAUCACCAUGUUUUAUAUUAGGAUUAUUUUUUUAUCAAAUUGGAUUAUUAUUCAUUAAUAUUAGGUUUUAUUAUCAAAUUGGAUUAAUAUUCAUUAAUAUUAGGUUUUUUUUUAUUAUCAAAUUGGAUUAUUAUUCAUUAAAUUGGAUUAUUAUCAAAUUGGAUUAUUCAUUAAAUUGGAUUAUUAUUCAUCACCAUGUUUUAUAUUAGGAUUAUUUUUUUAUCAAAUUGGAUUAUUAUUCAUUAAUAUUAGGUUUUAUUAUUCCAUAUUAUUUGUAUAACUACUUAAAUUUUUACAAUCAUUUUCUUUACUUCGUAUUUAAUUCUUCUGUAGAAUAACUUUAUUAUUUAGGGUCUCUUAUUUUAUCAAAAAAUAAUUGUCUAAUUUUCAUGAAAAAUAAAUAUAGGUACGUUUAAGAUGUCCAGUGGAGUUACUAAACGUGAUCCAGCUUGAGAACAUGGAGACCCAAUAGACGGAAACAAACAUGGCACAAUUUGCAAAUAUUGUGGUCGGGUAAUGAAGAGUGGCGGAGUGACACGAAUUAAGUACCAUCUUAGUGGAUUAGAUCUAGCAAAAAAUGUCCAAUGAUGCGAUAAUGUCCCCCCAGAAGUGAAGGCAUUCAUCAGCACAUUAUUAAAAAAUAAAAAACAGCAGAAGGAAUAUAUAACACAUGGAAUGGAAAAUAUUCGAGCUGGGCUACAAGGAGAAGUCAUUGGCCAAACGGUUGACAGUGAUGAUGAUGACGAUGAGGACGAAUGUGAUGAUGACAUGGGACCUGAAGAACGACGCAGUUUGAAACAAACAUUACGUGCCUCCAAACAGUCAGCAUGGGAAAGAGAACACCUUCAUAAAAUUCCUAAUAGAGCACAAGGUUCCGGGACAAGUGGUGGUGCACAACUGAGACGGGGAGGCAGUCUUAGAGAAUCACAACCAACACCACCAAUAGCCCCAAGUUUAUAUAAGUCAUCCAAAGCACGUCAAAAGAGUGUUUGGAGUUAUUUCACUGAAGGUAAUGUGAAGGAGGGAAUGGGGCGUCUAAUUAGCAAGUUCUUUAUCUAUGAAAAUGUCCAUGCUGAGGAAGCAUCAUCACAUCAUUUCAAAAAUAUGGUAGUGGGAUGUCAACAGGCUGGUGUUGGAGUAUAACCUCCCACUCCCUAUGAGAUAAGAAACAAAUAUUUGGAUAUGGAGUAUAAAGACAUUGGCAAGUAUGUUAACAAGUUGAGGUCAAAGUGGGAAACUAAUGGUUGCACAAUCAUGUGUGACGGAUGGACUGGCCCGACCAGAUUGUCUAUCAUAAACUUCAUGGUAUACUCCAAGGGAAAGACAAUUUUUUUUAAGUCUGUUGAUGCUUCAGACCAUAUAAAGAACUACAAGUAUAUUUACAAAUUAUUAAGGGAUGUAAUCAUGGAGGUGGGAGAGCAUAAUGUUGUCCAAGUCGUGACCGACAACGGUUCUGCAUUUGUCAAAGCUGGAAAAAAGUUAAUGAAGCAUUAUAAUGUGUUUUGGACAUCAUGUGCAGCACAUUGUAUUGAUCUCAUGUUUGAGGCAAUGGGGAAGAGAGAGAAUGUUGCUACUGUGGUCAAAAGAGCUAGUACGAUCACAAAUUAUAUUUACAAUCACGGUUGGUUGUUGGCAAAGAUGCGUGAAUUUUGCAAAGGAGAAAUUAUUCGUCCAGCUACCACUCGAUUUGCCACCAACUAUAUUGCAUUAGACAGCCUACUUAAGAAGAAAGCAGGGUUGAAGCAACUAUUCACUAGUGACGAUUGGGCCAACCACAAUUUCAGCCGCUCAAAUACAGGUCGUAUGGUGGAAAGUAUAGUGCUUGAUCAUGCUUUUUGGACUCAAUCAGAACAUGUGUGCCAAGUGUUUGAACCUCUUUACAAAGUUUUACGGAUCGUUGACACAUAAGUGUAUCCUACUAUGGGGGCAGUAUAUGAGUUGAUGCGUGUAGUGAAUGAUGAAUUGGAAAGAAAACAUGGUGCAAGGUGGGUCAUAAAGAUAAUUGAAGACCGAUGGUAUAAAACAUUAUACCGCAAUUUGCAUGCAGCAGGUAUAAAUUAUGUCAUAAUUUGCAAUUCAUUUCUUUAGUUGCAUAAGUAUUAUUUCUCUUAUUAGAGUAUGUGUUUCUUUGAACAUCAUAUUAUUUGAAUCCUAUAUACCAAUACAGACCCGGUGUUGGAGAUGAUGGUACCCUUAUAUGUGCUGUACAUAAUGUAUACUCUAAAUUAGACCCUGCAUCACCAACAGUUGGCCAAUUUGGAAAUGAGGUACACAAUUACUUAAAUUAUAAUAAUUACUUUGUUGGAUUAAACUAACACGAUUUAUUGAAUUCAGCUAACAUGGUUUAAAGAUGCAAGAAGAACUUUUGGAGAACCAACAUCAAUUGUUGCUCGAACAACAAUGUCUCAUAGUGAGUGUAAACAUAUUUCACUAUAAGUUUAUAAUAGAAUUUGUUCGAGUUAUUGGGCUUAUCAACAUUGUUUUUCAUUAUAGCUGAAUGGUGGAUCAUGUAUGGGACCGAUGCACCAACUGUGAGAAAGUUAGCAAUCAAAGUAUUAUCACAAACAGCUUCCUCAUCUGCUUGUGAAAGAAAUUGGAGCACAUUUGCACUCAUACACACAAAGCAAAGAAAUAGGUUGGCUCAUAGUAGGUUGGAAAAAUUAGUUUAUUGCUACUACAACAUGAAGCUUCAAAUUCGAGAUAAGGAAGCAGAAAUAGAUCAUGUCGACCGUGGUGACCCACUAGAUGUAUUUGAUAUUAUUGGUGAAGAUGAUGAUACAGAGGGUAACCAACUUUAUCAAUGGAUUAGACCUCUUCAUUUAGAUGAUGAUGAAGGCAACCCAGCUCCCAGAGUUGCUGAAGAAGCACGUAAUGAAGGGAUAAAUGUAGAAAGAGUAUUAGAGGAGGAGGUGGGAUCUAGCAGCGCUGACUCUUUGGAAGAACUUUUGCGCCCAAGACCAAGAAACACUGGAAUUCCACCUUCUUCCAAUCCUACACAACCACAACAUCAUGCUGAUACUAAUGAUAGCUCUAGUACAAGAUCAGGAGACUCACCUACCACCGGAGGUGGGAAUGAUGAAGGAUACAGUUGAGCUGGAGGUAGUGGUGGUGGAUAUGGAAACUAUUAUGGACCACCUCCCGGAUUUAUGACCCCCUUCACUGGUGAUGCAAACUUCACGCAUGCAACACAGGAUGAUGACCAUGGCAGUAGGCGGGCAGGACCAGGAAUUGGUGCCAUAGGGAAUGACUAUACUCGUAGAGAAAGAGGCAAGGGGAUUUUGUCAAGUCAAGAAGAUGACUCGUUAUCUAGAACUUCGGACUCUGUUGGAGUGGGAAGUAGUAACUAUGGUUAUACUAAUAACCAACCAUUUCCCUACCCUUCAUAUCUCAUUCCUGUUGGGAUGGAAUCGAGCGACUCAUGGAAACAAUCCCAAACUCAAUCUUCAAAAUGAUUUUGCUUAUGGACAACCUCAACCAAUCUCGGAUCCAUAUGGGUGGCAUGUUAACAAUUACAUGCAAAACUAUUUUGGGGAUUUAUCAUUUGAUAACUACUCUUCACAAUACACUCACUCUACACAUAGAGAUGAUGAAGAUAGUGAAAAAUUUAAACCUCAUAGGAACUCUAUGUGGUACUACAGUGUAAAAUAUUGUACUAAUUCAUUAUAUAUAAAUGAUUAUGGUGUGUUUAGACUUCUUUCAUUAAUUACUACAUAUUUUCUACACUCACAAUGUUUGUCAGCUCGCUAUAUAAUCAACUUGAUAAUGUUAAAUCCAUCAUGCAAUGCAUUUCCUUCCAAUUUUUUGUGAUAAACUAAUAGAUAAUUGACUAAAUAAACAUCCUGCAAAGUUUCAAUAAAAAUUUCCAAGUUUUUCUUACAAUUUUCGUGGUUUCCAUGUAAUUUUUAUCGAUAUCGAUAUUAUCCCGAUAUUUCCAUCGAUAUUUCCGUGUUUUCGGACUACCGAUAUUUCCGAUAUUACCGAUAUUUAAUACCUUGGCGGAUACCACGUGAUUCUCAAAUCCAAAAGGUAAGGUAAAAAUGGAAUUGGAUCCUCUCUGAGGCAAAGCCUCAGGAUCCUCCUAACCGGACAACACAGGCCGUUGGAUUUUGAUCUAACAGCUACAAACCAGGGGUCCCUCUAAAAGUUAUAAUAAUUGUAGCCGUUUGAUCAAAAUCCAACGACCCGUAUUGUCCGGUCAGGAGGAUCCCGAGGCUUUGCCUGGUAGAGGAUCUAAUUCCGCAAUCUGACACCUCCCAAAAUGAUUUGACAAGUACAAUCUUAUAUAUUAAGUUGUCUUCUCCCCAAUUUUAAAUAUUUGGAAAUGACCCAAGAAGGGUUAGGAUUUCUCUAAGCUUCCUAUGUAAUAGUGUGCUGCAUGCGUAUGUAGAUUUGAUAUAUGAUGUAAAGAACAUGUUCUGGUCUGAAAACAAAAUUUAUUGUUGAUAUAUACUUACAAACAUUAUAAUGAAGAAUGUGAAUUAUCAAGCAAUAGAUGCAUACAGUUUACCAUCUUUAUUACUUUCGGAUUUGAAUUGCAUUUUAAAGACACAAAAGAUACAAUUUGUAGUGUGUUUCAUUCAUAUUUUAAUUUCUACAUUAUAGUUGGAGUGCCAAAAGUUGAAUUGGAAUUUGUCAAAAACACUAUAUAUGCCAUCUGACUCUUUUUAGUGUUUGGGUUUGAAGGUGCCGUUUUCUAUUGUUUGCGUUUGAAGGGGCCCUGUGAAAUGCACCUUAGCAAUUGGCUCUCAAUCCAUUUCAUUUCAAGAGGAUACGAAGAAUCCCAAUGCCAUUGGUUGCUUGAGUGGUAUUUUUGUCUCUAUUUUUUGUCCUUUUUAUCAUAUAUUUUCGUGUAAUUAUUUUUAAAAUAUUUUGGAUGUUCCGGAUUUAUUUUCCUUUUUGCAAGCAAAAAUUGCAAUUCAUAAGUUAAAAAAGUAACCUCCACGGGCUGCAAAGUUUUCCCCUUGCAAAGCAAAAUUGCAUCAGUUUGGAUUUAUUUCUAACUGAGUGAAGUUACAUGUGUUUUAUGAUCAUAAUCAUUAAUAUAAUCCUACAUAUGUUAGUGUCCUUAAGCCUCAUGGCACAAAUAACUUUUUUGUGCUGGUCAUAUUUUUUUUUUUGUAGUGUUUGAAUAUUUAGUACUGUAGGGAAUGACACAUCAAAUUUAUAUAUCUAUGAUCUUCAAACAUUAUCACGAUGCAUGUGUACGAGACUCACCUGGACCCUAAUUCUAUGUGGCCACUUAGCCCCACUUCCCACACAGCCAGAAAAUCGGCAAGACUUUCAACAAAAACGAGUGGACAGUACAACUUCUGUAACUUUCAUUGUGUGUUUUUUUUUCUUCUUAAGAAUGGUUAGUGACUACUUAUCGUACGAAGAACAACAACCCUAAACCUUAAUUUUGUGAACCUUUCAUUGUUUUUGCUAAACACUAGGCUUCACAUACGUGCUCACGUGAAGACAUUUUUGGAAUCACGAUGUGUUAUGCACAACUUACAUGUUUUAAAUGUAUUUAUAUGCGUAAAUUGACAAAAGGAAAAUUAAAUAUUUGAAGUAAAUGAAUAAUUUUAGAUCAUGCUAAAAGAAACCCUUCAUAAACCAAUUAAAGCAGCUGAAUUCACAUAAUAAAAUCAGUUUCUAUAGAAUUUACAUUAAGAAUAGAGAAAAUAAUAUUUAAUAAACAAUUGAUUGAAUCACAUUAUUGCUAGCUCAUUGUGAGGUUAAGCUCAUCCCCUCCCCCUUAGUGUAGAUAAUAUCGUUUGUUAAAAAAAAUCAUUUGACAAUUAAUUUAAUCACAUUAUUAUCCACGUGUGAAAGACCCUUUUUUAUAAAGAAAAUAAUAUUUAAUAAACAAUUGAUUGAAUCACAUUAUUACUAACUUAUUGUAAGGUACUAAUUAAAAAAAAUUACUAAUUUAUCACCGGCACUACGCACCUCUUAAGAUGUUUUGAACAUAAUAUUCAUCAUUUUUCUUAUUUUUUUUUACUAUAUUUUUCUUUCCCCUUCAUGUGGGCACCAUCAACUUUCACUUAUCCUUUCAUUUUUUUUAUUUUUUUCUCUCUUCCAAUAUAUGUUAUGAUGACCGAAUUACCCCUGCAUUAUUUGAUAUAUUAUAUUGGGUUGCUUUUGAAUUUUUUUGGUUGAGAGGCAAUUUUGUCCUAAUAUUUUUGUCAAAUGCGUGACCCCAAAUUGGGGCUCUCGCUUUCUAUUAGAUUGAUGACUACGACCCCCGUGAGUGAAAGCUACAUUGAUAUUCCAUUCCAUGCAUCUUCCUUUUUCACAUACAUACGUAGUACUUGUAAAAUUUUCAUCACCAUACAGCUCUAUAAAGCAUCUCCAAAAAACUAAACAAAAUUCUAAGAGUGAUUAGAGAAACCAAACUUUAUAAGUUAGUUGCAGCAUUAUUGCUAUUAACGUAAAGAGCACAUUCAUAAAGAACAAAGAACACGUUCAUAAAGAGCACAUAAAACAUUUUAAUUGCUGCAUUAUUGCUAUUGACAUAAGGGCACAUAUGUUAAUGUCCUUAAACCUCAGAUAGGACAAAUAACUUUUUGUACUCAGUGACUAUAUUUUUUUGUGGUGUUUAACAUUUAGUAUUGUUGGGAAUGACACAUCAUAUCCAUAUAUCUUUGAUGUUCAGACAUUAUCACGAUGCAUGUGUACGACACUCACGUGGACCUUAAUUCUAUGUGGCCACUUAGCCCCACUUCCCACACAGCCUGAAACUCGGCAAGACUUUCAACAAAAACGAGUGGACAGCACAACUUCUGUAACUUUCAUCGUGUUUUUUUUCUUAAUUGAAUGGUUAGUGACUACUUAUCGUACGAAGAACAACAACCGUGAACCUUAACUUUGUGAAACUUUCAUUGUUUUUGUUAAACAUUGAUGAUUACGACCCCCGUGAAUGAUAUUCCAUUCCAUGCAUCUUCCUUUUUCACAUCCGUACGUAGUACUUGCAGACUUUUCAUCACCAUACAGCUCUAUAAAGCAUCUCCAGAAAAUUAAACAAAAUUAUACGAGUGAUCAGAGAAACCAAACUUUACAAGUUAUAUGUGAACUAUUUAAUAGAAAUAAAGCCUACCAAUACAAGUAGAUCCUGCCUGAUCCACACGUUGUCUAUAAAAUAUAGUAUUCCAAGCAUUUUUUAAAUUUUAAUCUAAAUUUGUGCUUGGAUUUCUGUUGUAUCCAUUUGGCUAGCCAUUUGUCGUAUUCCAAAAAUUAAAUCCCUCCAAGGAAAUCCGGCCUCAGGUGGAUCCGACCCACCAUCGCGGGUCUAGUCGCACUAGAGUGUAUAGCCCGGGUAUGAGACGGAAACCCAUGAAAUCAUGGGUUGUUGCUUGCAAAAUGGUGGGGAGGAUAGGAAAAUAUGGGCGCCGUCGGUUUACGCCAGAGAGAGGGAGAGGGAAAAGGAAAAAAGAAAUAAAAGAAAUAUGGGCACCGUCACAUUAUGUGGUGUACUAAUGUACUAUAACAAACAAAUAAUUUAUGUAUGUACAAUUCUCAAUUCAAAGAAUCAAGUAAUUAAUGGUCCCUCAUUAAAAAAAAAGGAAGGACAAUAUUAGAGGGAUUAAAUUUACAAAUCAAAUGAUGUGUCAUCAAUAGAAAAUAAGCAAGUUAAUUGACACUUAACAAUAAUCCAAUAAUAAGCCUUCACAUCAUUUGAUUUACAAAACUUAAUUUAAAAAUUUGAUCUCGCUAUCAUUAAAUUUAAAAAAAAAAACUAAAAGUUGGGGUCACUGCAUGAUCGAGCCGGCUAAUUUAAUGUUGGGAGUUUGAAUUUAUUCAUUAUCAACUUGCUUUUUCAUUGACAAAUCACAUCCUAACAUGAUAAUGACUUUGGUCAAAUCAUGGCCAUUCAACAACUAAGAUAUUUUCGGAUCGAAUGGGGAUCCUCUUUGAAUUUUUUUUAUGAG